GAUUAAUGAGGUGCUAGAUGAUGCGGUGAAGAAACAGACGAAGGAGGAGUUAGUGAAGAAGUGGCUAGGCAAACUUCGCAACUUGGCUUGCGAUGUUGAUUACCUGUUGGAUGAGUUUCAAACGGAAGCUUUCCAGAGGAUGUUGCUGCAAGAUGAUGAUGACGUGGCAUCUAAAGUAAAGGAGGUCAAUGCUAGUUUGCAAGAUAUUGCAUCGCAGAUAGAACUACUAGAUUUGAGAAAAAGAUCAGGUGGAAUGUCUGUCAAUGCCGGCAGAGUAAUCUUGUCGGCAGUGAGACUUGGAAGAGGAGUUAGAGAUCCUGGCGCUGCAACCUUGUCGGCAGUAAAUGACUCAAAAUUUACAAAAAGAGCAGUUAGACCAACAGCGGCAAGACUUGCAGUUUCGAAAGCGGAUCCGUCUGCAUCUUUUCUGGGGAUGCUGAUGCCAACCUUUUAGCUGUUACGAUAGCGGCUCAGGAUCCGGAUAUCCUCUUCAGCGGCGGCGGCAAGAGCUUUCUGACUGGAAGCCGAACAGCAAAGUUUAGCUAUGGAUAUUCCUCCUUUAAUGGUAAAAACUCUUCAAUGGAAGAAUUUUGUGAGGCAACCUUAUCUGCGGUUGAUCGUCAGAAGGUUGCUUUUUUCGGUGUUUAUGAUGGUCAUGGAGGCUCCAGAACUUCAGAGUAUCUAAGAAACCAUCUCUUUAAAAAUUUAAGCAGCCAUCCAGAUUUUAUAGAAGACACAAAGACAGCUAUUGUUGAAGUUUUUACAAACACUGAUGAGAAUUACCUUAGUGAAGAGAAAGGCCAGCAAAAAGAUACUGGGUCAACUGCUUCGACUGCUGUGCUGUUAGGGGAUCGGCUGGUUGUUGCAAAUGUUGGUGAUUCCAGAGUGGUGGCCUCCAGAGCUGGCUCAGCUAUUCCACUGUCUGUUGAUCAUAAACCUGAUCCAGCUGAUGAACGACAAAGGAUUGAAGACGCUGGAGGUUUUGUUAUUUGGGCAGGAACAUGGCGGGUUGGGGGUGUUCUUCCUGUUUCUCGUGCAUUUGGGGACAAAUUACUAAAGCAAUACGUCGUUGCCGAGCCAGAAAUUCAGGAAGAAGAAAUUGAUGGUAUCGACUUUAUAAUCGUUGCUAGUGAUGGACUUUGGAAUGUCAUAUCCAAUGAGGAAGCUGUUGCAAUGGUGGAACACAUAACCGAUGCAGAAGCAGCAUCAAGGAAGCUCAUCACAGACGCUUAUGCACGCGGGAGCUCUGACAACAUUACUUGUGUCGUUGUUCGGUUUGAGAACUCGCGACCAGACACUUGACGUUAUCUUGCGGCUGUUAUAUAGGACUUUGUACGGCGGCCAAGCCAGAAAUAAAAGAAAUUUUCAUUGAUGCAUUUUCCCGUUACACUUUUUGAAAAACUGUUAACUGUGCCGGGCUGCAGCUCAGCUUUCAGUAAGUUGUUCCUCAUUUCUCUGUUCAUGUUUGAUUAAACCUCAGUUGUUAUUUGCCUCAAUGUUCUUUAAGAAGAUUGGGUGGCCCAGCACCUACAGUCUAUUCUUGCGAAUGAAAAUGUAGCAUCUUUUGGACUGGUUUGAAAAUAGAAAAGGGGUCACUAUCAAAAGCGCAAUGGCACUUGCUUUGAAGUUUGAAGGAACCUUUUUUUUUUUUUAACAACUACUUUUCUGGGAAAAACAAAAAUGUACUUUCUUCGCACUUCCCCUUUGUCAACAUCUGUUAGAGAAUAUGCUUCAUGGCAGGAACUACGUACUAAAGUUAAUUAAUCAUUAAUCAGACGACAAAGACAAGAAAGCUAUCAAAAUGAGAGCUAGCAUUUGAUUCAUCGGACUCGACUAGCUUACAGAAUCUGUAAGGUACAGACUGCAGCAUCAGUGGUUGGAUGUGGUUGGAUGUGGAGUGAGAAACUAAACAAUAAAAAAUCGGAUGGUGGGAUGACGGGAGAUGUUUGUUACAGAAUCUGUACCAUAGACAGGUCCUAAUUCAUCAGGUAUAUUAUAUGGUACUAGAGAAAAUUGGAAAGGACAAUUUACUAAGUCGACAACUUGUACAACUAAUGCACGCUAAAAGGUUGACUAAUGAGUACGUGCUAGAUAUCAAGUUAAUAUUUGAUUUUAAGGUGAUGUAUCUUUUAAGGCAUAAUUCAUGUGAAUAAAUGAUUGUAAUUGUGAAAUAAAAAUUGGUAGUUUUUUAUAAAUGUAAUUGUUAUAUUAAUUUUGAAAAAAUAAUAAAAAUAUUAUCAUUUUUUUCAUAGUAUAAAAUAAAAUCAACUUAAUUUUUAAACCACAUCAUAAAAUAUUUUCUAAACACUAUGUACAGUUGAUUAAUUUUAAGUUAUAAUUGCCUGCUCACAAUACGAAACAGGAACUAACCCAAAUAUAUGUUUUUUAAUUCUUGCGAUAUCAUUAGAUGGUGUUUCAGUGCACUAUUUCAUCUCGGCGCAUCAAGUUUUUUUUUUUUUUUUUUCAACAGUUUAUCCAACUGUUUGAAUGGUAACAGAUUGAUUGUAAUUUGAUUUGAAUGUUUAAUAUGGACUGGAUGCAUGGCUCUAGUCAGAGGAAUGGAAUUUCUGGUUGUGUCAAUUUUUUUUUUAAAGUAAAAAAUAAAAGGCGCUCAUAGUGAACUGGAAAAAUCACCGAUUGAUAAAAAUUCUCAUGGAUAGAGUUCAAUUUUCAGACAACAAUUCAAGAAAAUAGAACAUUAAAAUCAGAAUUAUUCUACAUUCCCGUGACAUUCAAAAUGUUGUGGAUCAUUAAAUGUUAAUAAACAAAAGGUCAUCCAACACCGUGGAUCAUUAAUGAUUAUGAAGAACUAAACCACCUUUUUUAAAAAAACAUGACAAUGACAUCCAUGACUCACAACCCAUAAGUCUAUACUGGACCCAUCAACUCACUCAAAGAUUUGGCAAUUCGGGUACGGUCCAGGUUUGGCCUUCCUGAUUAUGAAUUCAGAUGAUAAUUGUUAAUAUCGGAUCCGGAUGUAAAUCCAGAUAUUUCUCCUCCGGGUCUGGUACGGGUUAAACUCGAAAUCUAGCUUCUAGACUCAUCGAAACUGCUUCAAAAUCAAUUUCGUGUGGAUUAAUUAAAAGGGGUACAUUUCAGUUUACUCCUAGACAUAUUUUAACUCAUCUCUCAAAUUACUAAAAACAUCAACAUAUUCUUAUUUGCAGCUCAAAAAUUUAGAGUAAAUGAGUUGGGAUCAUAAUGAUAAAAUUCUUCAUGAAACUUUUUUACUUCUUAAUGAUAAAUAGGGGUGGGCUGAUGUUUUCAAUAAUUUAUGUGGUUAAUUGAAACAUGUCAACUUAUCUAAAAAGUUGUAAUGACCAAGAAGAAACUUUAUGACAAGAACUUUUAUUGAGAUAAUAAUAUUUGUUAUGUCGUGGAGCUCAAUACUUUUCUUUUUUAAAGCAAUGGAAGAAUAUAAAAAUGGAGAGUAGCUUAAUUACAGCGAUUGAUUCCUACAAUUAAUCUCUUAGAAUCAGUUGAUGGUUAUUGCCUACAUAUCAGGGAAUCAAAUCCUAAAGUUUCCUUAAGGUCAUGUUCGAUUUAAAGAAAAGGGAGGAGAGGAAAAGAAUGGAAUGGAGAGGAAGGGAAAAAAAAGGAAUAGAAAAGAGUAGUGAAAUUACAUUUUGUUGUUUGGUCUGAUAUAAAAUUUGAUAAGUAAAUAAAUUAUAAUUUUUUUCUUUAGACAAAUUUAUCCUUUAUCUUAAAUAUUAAACUAUUUAUAUUAAAAAAAAAAAAUAUAUAUAUAUAUAUAUAUAUACAUAUAUAUAUAUAUAUAUAUAUAUAUAUAUAUAUAUACAUAUAUAUAUAUGGUGGUCCGGCAGCGGGGUCCGGCGACUUUCCAGCAAAAUCUGACGGUGGACCGGUGACUUUUCGGUGGAGGUCCAUUUAUAAUAUUAAAUUAAUAAAAUAAAAUUCUAUAAUGGCAUUAAAUAAGUUAAAAAAUUGAAAGUUAAUUUUGAAAACUUUAGUUUCUAAUAGUAAAAAAAUUUAAAUUCUUCAUUACUAAGUAUGGAAUUUAAAUUCUAAUGGAAAUUAAAUUCUUAUAUAUUUUGUCAAACCAAACAAUGGAAAUAAAAAGAGAAUUUAAAUUACUUUCCUCUCCUACAUUCUCUUCUCCCAACCAAACGCCACCUAAGAGAAUUCUAGCCAUUACCAGCCUUCCCUCCCAAGAAUAGCCUUGUCCUCAAGUUUUUAAACUUGGAAAACGUUGUUGCAGCUUGUGUAAGUCUUCCCAUGUUGCAUCUUUUGGAAAUGAAUUGGACCAAUGUACUAGCAGAUGUGUUGUUGGUCGAUUGUAACGUUUAAUCAAUCUGCGAUCUAGUAUAGCAACUGGUUCCAGCUACAAGCUUCCAUCUCCUUAUGUUGGAGGCAAUUCCAAUUGUGGCUCCACAGCUUCUCCAAUUCGCUUCUUGAGGCACGAUACAUGGAAAAUUGGGUGAAUUCGAGAAUCUGGUGGCAACUCAAGCUUAUAAGCCACCUUACCAAUUUGUUGUAUCACCUUGUAAGGACCAUAAAACAUUGGGAAAGCUUCUGAUUUGAUCUUAGAGCAAUCAUUGUUUGUUUAAAUGGUUGUAGACGGAGAUAUACCAUGUCACCUACCUCAAAUUCUCGUUCUGUUCUGUUUUUAUUGGCGGCUUGCUUCAUCCAAUUCUGAGCUUGAUUCAAAUUCUCCUUCAACAACCUAAUCAUAGCAUCUCUGGCAAUUACACUUUCCUCAAGAGUAGUAACAUUAGAUUCUCCUGGAGUAUAUGUGGUAUAAUUGAGGGGUGGUAUUCCAUAAAUAACCUUAAAAGGAGUUGUUUUAGUAGAUAAAUGAAAUGAAGUAUUAUACCACCAUUCAGCCAAGGUUAACCACUUUGCCCACUCUUUUGGCCGAUCUCCAGUCAUACAAUGCAAAUGUUGCUCCAAACAUUUGUUAACAAUCUCGGUUUGCCCAUCGGUUUAAGGAUGGUUGGCUGAACUCAUGUGAAGCUAGGUUCCCUGAAGUGUAAACAGACCUUGCCAGAAUUUACUACAAAAGAUCCGAUCUCUAUCACUUAUUAUAGUUCUCGGCAUGCCAUGUAACUUGUAAAUAUUAUCCAAGAAUGACUGUGCUACAUCCAUAGUUUUAUAAGGAUGGCUAAGUGUCAUAAAGUGAGCAUAUUUACUAAGCCGAUCGACGAUCACAAAAAUAACAUCCUUUCCUUAAGACUUUGGCAGGCCUUCAAUAAGUCCAUGGAAAUGUCAGUCCAUACUUGAUCUAGAAUGCGCAGAGGUUGAAGUAGUUUAGGAGUGGAGAUGUUUUCUGUCUUAUUUCGUUGACACCAUCACAUUCAGCCACAAAUGCACAAACAUCUUUCUUUAACUUCUUCCAAUAGAAAGCUCUUUUAACUCUCUUUAAAGUCUUCUUAACAUCUGAGUGACCUCCGUUUGGCCCGUUAUGAGCUUCCUGUAACAAUGCCAUCUUUAGAUUUGAAUUUGCCACCAAUCACAAUCAUCCUUUAUAUCUAAGCUGAUUGUGAUCCCAAGAAAAUUUUUUAUUAGCUAAGGGAGUGUUUUGGAUUUCCUUAUUAGCUUCUGAACCUUCAAAUCUCCUUCUUAUUCUCUUUUAAGUUGAUCAAUCCACUCAGCCACUGGAAAACAGAGAGUUAUAAUACCAAUUGAUUCAUCAGACUGCCUUAACAAUGCAUCAGCUACUUUAUUCUCCCUUCCACUUCGAUACGACAUCUCAAAGUCAUAGCCAAUUAGCUUAGUUAACCAUUUAUGCUACAUCGGUGUUGAUAUAUAUUGUUCUAACAAAUACUUAAGGCUGAAAUGAUCAGUGCAUGCCUUGAACUGUCUCCCAACAGGUACGGUCGCCAUUUUUGUACAAUAAAUACUAUUGCCAGCAUCUCCCUUUCAUAGGUUGAUAAACCUAAAUUUUUUGGUGAUAAUGCCUUGCUAACAAAAGCAAUGGGCCUUUCCUCUUGCAUAAGAAUAACCUUAAUUCUGCCAUCUGAUGCAUCACACUUAAUAACAACUGUUUAGAAAAGUCAGGCAUGGCUGGUACAGGUGCAAAAGACAUAGCUACCUUAAGCUUUUCAAAAGCUUUCUCUACUUCAGAAGACCAAUGAAAAUUGUCCUUCUUAAGUAAAUUAGUGAAACGACAACUGAUUUUUCUAUCAUUCCUUAUAAAGCGUCUAUAGUAGCCUGUUAGACCCAAGAAUCUACGUAAAAAUUUCAAUGAUUUCGGUCUAGGCCAUUGUUUCAUGCACUCCACCUUAGUUGGAUUUGUUGCAACCCCCUUUUCAGAAAUCAAAUGUCCCAAAUAUUCUAGCUACUACUUCGCAAAUGAAUACUUGGAUUUUUUGACAUAAAGCUGACUCUACUUAAGUGCUUCAAGUGUGAGAUUGAGAUGACUCAAAUGAUCCUUCCAGCUCCUACUAUAAACCAGUAUAUCGUCAAAGAAAAUCAAAACAAACUUUCGCAAAUACGGCUUGAAGACCUCAUUCAUUAGACUUUGAAAAGUAAAAGAUGCAUUGAUUAACACCGAAUGACAUGACAAGAAAUUAAUAAUGGCCCUAAUGAGUAUGAAAUGCAGUUUUAGGCACAUCCUCUAGGUGAACUCUAAUAUGAUGGUAACCAGAUCUCAGAUCUAACUUUGAAAAAAUUGUAGCUCCAUACAAUUCGUCAAGUAACUCAUCAAUCACGGGAAUGAGGUAUUUAUCCUUGAUAGUCACACUGUUAAGGGCUCGAUAAUCUACACACAUUCUCUAACUACUAUCCUUUCUUUUAACUAAUAAAACUGGUGAAGAAAAAGCACUUACAGUUGGUUGGAUGCUCCCAGUUUCCAAAAGUUCCUCGACAAUUUUCUCAAUCUCGUUCUUUGAACAUAGGGGUAUCAGUAAGGCCUUUCAUUGGGUGGUACAGUUCCUGGCUUGAGAGGAAUUCGAUGAUCAUGUGCACUUGAUGGAAGAAGGCUUUUAGGCUCAGAAAAAAUGUCCUCGUACUGCUGCAAUAGUUCUUGUAACUCUGAUGGCUCAUCUUCCCAUCUCUUCUUUUUUUCUAUAAGCGAAUCAUCUACAUGGAUUGAAAAUAAUUUAGCCACCGUAGUAGGAGUAGUUUGCUUCAAUGCCUUAUCCAUAUGGUCUGGAGAAACUAACUUAAUUGGCCCUGUAGUAGCACCCCUCAGCACAUGUCUUUUCCUAUUAAUCUUAAACUCCAUCCAUAGCCUUUUAAAAUCCCACAAUAUUGGUCCAAGUUCUGCCAGCCAUUGUAUUCCAAGCACCAUAUCACAACCUCCUAAAGGAAUAAGUCUCAUGUCUGCCUGAAAUUCCUUUCCUUGUAUGUUCCAUUGCAACUACCUACAAAUGCCAGUUCUAGUAAUUUUUGUGCUAUUUGCUACUAUUACCAUUAAAGGACUUGUGUGAUGAAUUGUGCAUCCAGUUCAUUUGGCAACUAGUGGAUUAAGGAAGUUAUGGGUGCUGCCAGAGUCAAUCAGGAUUGUUAUAGCUUUCUGUUUGAUGUUCCUUCGUACCGUCAUUGUUUGAUGAGUUGUGGCUCAUGCUAGAGCAUUAAGAGAGACAACAGGUUCUUCUGUGUUUUCAGCUUCAUCGGCUUCAUCUUCUUUCUCUUCAAUCGUGUUAAGUAUAGCUAAAGCUGCUAAGCUGGCUGGCUGGUGACGUGUAUAAGCUGAAGCUGCUGAGCUGGAUUGGGUUGUUGUUCACACUAACUAAGCUGUAAUGGAUUAUCCAGCUGGCUUGAUGUGAUUGGAAGUUUGAUUAGUUUGUUAAUAUAGCAAACGUUGAGCUCUGUUUUGGUUGUUAGUUUUGAGUGUAACUAUAAAUACUGACUAACACGUUUUCAGUGUUAAGCUUGAGUUUUAAUCAAUAAGAAUCUCCUCUGAUAAAGUUUCUUUGUUAAUUUUCUUUCACUUUCUUACUUGCCAAACAUCUUAUUAAUUCUAAUGCGGUAUCAGAGCCUGCACCUAUGUCAGGAUCUAAUCAUAUAGCUUCCUCAUCACUUUCAUUCAACUUUGUUCAACCUGUAAAACUCGAUAGAUCAAACUACCUGGUGUGGAAAGCUCAAGUUAGAACGUCGAUCAUUUCUAAUGGACUUAAAAGCUUCAUCAAUGGUGAGAAUGUAUGUCCAGAAUGUUAUCUCACUGAAUCUACUCAAGAACUUCGAAGAUCUAGAGCUGAAGCAUCACAGAAGCAUGAAAAUCCAGACUAUAUCUUAUGGAUGAAAACUGACAAACUUCUGCAGAGCUGGAUGCUUUCAUCAAUGGUGGACAAUGUAUUAAUCAUGGUGAUCAAUUGUGAAACAUCACUUGAGCUUUGGGAGAUGCUUGCUGGAAUCUUCAUGUCACAAUCCAAAGCGAGAUAUCUGCCUUUGAAGAUGCAUAUUCAAUCAACAAAGAAAAGACCACUUUCAAUUAGUGAUUACUUCAAUAAGAUGAAGAAAAUUGCUGACAGCUUAGCCAUUAAAGGUAAUCCAAUUACUUUGAAUGAAUUAAUUAUGCACUUGCUUACUGGAUUGGAUGAAAACUAUGAAUCCUUAGUCACAAAUAUACUUACUAGAUUGGAAAAAGAGAAACUUACUGUUGAAGAGGUGUAUUCUAUGAUGCUUAGUCAUGAAACUAGGUUGGAAAUGAGCAAAAGAAAAUCACAUAAUGAACCUCUGCAUGAUAUGACAACAAAUUUUGCUAAGAAAGGCCAAGGUUAUAAUAGAUUUGGAUAUAAUCAGAAAAAUGUAGGUGCUGGAAAUUUUAAUGUUUAUGAUAACAAUCAGAACAUGAGUACUAGUCCUGGAAAAGAUGGUGUGUAUCGAAUCUGUUACAUUCCAGGCCAUGGAGCUUAUAAGUGUAAACACAUAUUCAAUCAUGUGUUUAUUCCUAGAAACAAAGGUUUUAGUGGUUUCAGGCCAAUAUGUGGAGGUCAGAAUUAUAAAGGAUUCCCUAAAAAUAAUCAAAAUUAUUUUGGUAGAGGUUCUGGAUACAAUAGUUCAGGUUUUGGAUCUGGAUUCAGACCUAACUUUCCUAGGUAAGCUGGACCUACUGGACCUUUCUUUGGUUAUGUCGCCUAUCAGAAUCCAAGAUUCAUGAACCCUCAAGGUGCCUUUGAUUUUCCAAGUGCAAAUGGUGACUAUAAUGGUGUUCCGACAGCAAACAUGUAUGCUAGAAAUUAUGGCAUUCCUCAUAAUGUUCCUCCCUCUGCACAAUUGGCAAACUAUAGCAGUGUAGCUUAUCCAGCCUGGUACCUUGACUCUGGAGCAACAAAUCACAUUGCUCAAGAUGCAGGUAUACUUUCUAAGUACUCAACUUACCAUGGCCUUGAAAAACUACAUGUAAGAAAUGGUAUGGGGCUGCCUAUUCAUAAUGUUGGAUUUGUUGCUGUUAAAACCUUGACUACAACACCUAUUAACCUAAAUCAUGUUCUGCAUGUCCCUACAAUUACUAAAAACCUUAUCAGUGUUUCCAAAUUGCUUGCUGAUAAUAAUGUUUUUAUUGAGUUUUACAACCAUGUUUGUUUUGUUAAGGACAAGAAUUCAAGAAUCACAUUGCUCAAGGGGAUUGCUAAAGGAGGUCUUUAUCAAGUUUCAAGCUUAAAUGUAGCAUGUGAUAACUCCAGUUCUAUGUUUCCAGUGUCAACCUCAUCUGAGUCUGUUUUUAAUUCAAUAAGUACAUUGUCAGCAGCUCCAGCGUCCUAUGUUUACUCAACUGAGUUCAUUUGAUACUAAGUUUCAUCCUUGUAUGCUUGUAAAUAAUCCUCAAAUCAAUAAGAAUGUCUCUGUGGCUCAUUUUGCUUCAUAUAAUAAGACUAUUGAUUAUAGUUUACUGCACAAAAGAAUAGGUCAUCCAACUACUCAUGCUUUAAAACAAAUCAUGAAAUGCCUGAAUUCAAAUUUUAUUCUUCCCAAAGAUUUAAGAUCACAGUUCUGUAAUGCCUGUCAACUAGGCAAGUGUCAUAUGCAGCAUUUUCCCUUAAUAGAAACCUCAACCACUUAGCCCCUUGAAUUACUACAUGCUAACCUUUGGGGACCAGCUCCCAUUACCUCUUCACAAGGUUACACCUACUAUCUAUCCAUUCUAGAUGACUACACCCGAUACACUUGGAUUUUUGCUCUCACUGCAAAAUCCAAAACCUUGUCAGCCUUUAUUGAAUUAAAAAACAUGAUUGAAAACUGCAUGAACUUGAAAAUUAAAUGUUUACAAACUGAUUGGGGUAGUGAAGUCAGGUCUUUUGUGUCAUAUCUUUCUGACCAAGGUAUACAAUUUAGACAUCCAUGUCCUUAUAUCCACCAUCAAAAUGGAAGAAUAGAGAGAAAACAUAGACAUAUUGUUGAAACAGGUCUUACACUUCUUGCCCAAGCUCACUUGCCACUUAAAUUCUGGUGGAAUGCAUUCCAUACAACCACAUAUCUUAUUAAUAGACUUCCUACACAUGUUCUCAACAAUAAAUCACCAUUUGAGAAACUUUUUCAUAAACCACCAGAUUAUACAUUCAUAAAAGUCUUUGGUUGCUCUUGCUACCCCUAUCUCAGACCUUACAAUCAUCAUAAACUCCAGUUUAGAAGUGAAAAAUGUGUCUUUAUUGGCUAUAGCUCUCUUCACAAAGGCUAUCGGUGUCUUCAUCCUUCUGGCAUGGUGUAUAUCAGUAAUCAUAUCAUUUUUGAUGAGUCAUCAUUUCCCUUCAAGUCAGCUGAAAAUUUUCUGCAAAAUCAAAUUCUAAUUCUUUGCAAUAGUCUAUUUCUUCAAAUUCUUUUGUCUCUUUCACCUUAUCACAGACUACUGCACAACUUGAUAGAUCAUUCUCUCAAUUAGCACCUUCAGCAACUGAUUUUCCUUCCAACUUAAAUUUAUCUAGCUCUAAAAAUCACCCCCUGUCUCAUACUCCUAUUCCUAUACAUCAACAUUCAUCUUCUCAACAUCUUCAUCACCUAUCUCUAUCUUCUCAAUCCACUGAUGGACAUCCUAUGAUUACUCGAUCUAAAAUGGGGAUAUUCAAACCAAAAAAGGCCUAUCUAGUUGAAUGUGAUCCUAAACCAACAGAACCACUCACAGUUUCAGCUGCCCUCAAUGAUCCAAAGUGGCUUCAGGCAAUGAGAGAAGAAUAUUAAGCCUUAGUUAAUAAUCAAACCUAGACACUUGUUCAGCCUACAUAUCCUAUCAAAGUUGUAGGAAACAAGUGGGUGUUUAGAAUUAAACAUAAUGCAGAUGGUAGUAUUUCAAGGUACAAAGCCAGACUUGUAGCAAAGGGUUUCCAUCAAACUCAAGGCAUUGAUUACAAUGAAACCUUCAGUCCAAUAGUGAAGGCUUCUACAGUUAAACAUGUUUUGAGCUUGGCUGUUCUUAAUCACUGGUCACUGAGACAAGUUGACAUUAAUAAUGCUUUUCUUAAUGGAUAUCUUACUGAAGAAGUAUAUAUGCAGCAACUCGAAGGCUUUGUGGAUCAAUCCAAACCUGCACAUAUCUGUAAACUUCAAAAGACAUUAUAUGGUCUCAAACAAGCUCCUAGAGCUUGGUUUGAUAGAUUAAAAAUAGUGGUAACUCAACAAUGGGGCUUCAAGAAUUCCAAGUCUGGUAAUUCUCUAUUUUUCCAGAGGGUUCAAGGUCAUCUCUUGCUGGUAUUAGUCUAUGUGGAUGAUAUUAUUGUAACAGGUUCAGACUCUGCACAAAUUCAGCAAGUUAUUACCAAUCUACAAACUACAUUUGCUCUAAAAGACCUUGGAGAACUGCAUUUUUUUCUUGGUAUUCAAGUCACCAAAACUGAUACAGGCUUGCAUCUCUCUCAGUCAAAGUAUAUAGCUAAUCUACUUAACAAGGUUAAGAUACAAGAUUGUACUCCCUGCUCAACUCCAAUGGCUGCAAAUGUUCCACUUACCAAAACUGACAGUGAACCUUUUGUUGAUGCAACUUUGUAUAGAAGCACAAUUGGAGCUCUUCAGUAUGCUACCCUGACCAGACCUGAGAUAUCAUUUCCAGUUAAUAAAAUCAGCCAAUUUCUAGCUGCUCUAACAAUUAAUCACUGGCAAGCAUGCAAAAGGAUUCUUAGAUAUCUAAAGGGUACAAUGCAUAUGGGGUUACAGUAUUCUCAUCAAGGUCCCUUGAACAUAGACUGUUUCAGUGAUGCAGACUGGGCAGCUGACAGGGAUGACAGAAAAUCAAUUGCUGGGUACUGUGUUUACUUUGGCCCCAAUCUGAUUUCUUGGUGUUCAAAGAAACAAGGAGUAGUGUCCAGGUCCAGCACUGAAUCAGAAUAUCGAGCUCUAGCAAUGGAUCUGAAGUUUUGUGGCUUAAGUCCUUGUUGACUGAAAUUGGUAUUUCUCUUGUCUCUACUCCUGUCAUUUAGUGUGAUAACCAAAGUGCAGCUGCUUUAGCAAGUAAUCCUAAAUUCCACUCCCGAACUAAACACAUUGAGCUUGAUGUUCAUUUCUUGCGAGAAAAGAUUGCUAAUCAAAGCUUCCAAGUUAGUUAUGUUCCUAGUUCUCAUAACUCAGCUGAUAUCCUUACUAAAGCUUUAGCUUAUCAUUCUUUUCAUUAUCUGAGAGACAAGCUAACCCUCACUUCACUAGGCUGAGCUUGAGGGGGGAUGUUAAGUACAGUUGAAGCUGCUGAGCUGGUUGGCUGGUGACGUGUAUAAGCUGAAGCUGCUGAGCUGGAUUGGGUUGUUGUUCACACUAACUAAGCUGUAACGGAUUAUCCAGUUGGCUUGAUGUGAUUGGAAGUCUGAUUAGUUUGUUAAUAUAGCAAACGUUGAGCUCUGUUUUGGUUAUUAGUUUUGAGUGUAACUAUAAAUAUUGACUAACACGUUUUCAGUGUUAAGCUUGAGUUUUAAUCAAUAAGAAUCUCCUCUGAUAAAGUUUCUUUGUUAAUUUUCUUUCACUUUCUUACUUGCCAAACAUCUUAUUAAUUCUAAUAAAUCGUAUCAUCACCUUCAACUCCCUUAAGAAGGAAAAAAUGUCUCUUCUUGCAUUUGUGUCUUAGUUCAUACUUUUCGUCGUAAUAAUAACAUAGUUUCUUCUCUCAUCGUUCAUGCUUUCAACUGCUAAAAUCCUUUUUACUGGUGGUAGUUGUCCAUUUGAGGUAUGCUUGGGUGGUCCUGAUUGAUUGAAUUAAGUUUUAAGUGAUGCUUGUGUCUCUUUGAUCAUAGCCUCCAUGGUGAUUUCUUAUAAAAGUGCUAAUCCAAUUGCCUGAGAAAAUGUGUUAGGCUAGAACAUGACCACCUGAUUAUUUAUUGCUUCAUUUAAGCCACUAAUAAAAUAGUCCACUAAAACUUCCUCCAACAGUCCUUUAGUUUUUUCCAUCAGUAGCUCAAAUUGUUCUUAGGAUUGCCUGACUAGAGAAAUUUGCUGCAGCUUGAUAAGUUGCCCCACUGGAUUUUCAUAUUUACCAGGCCCAAAUCUUAUAAUCUCAUCGGUGGAAAAAACCCUCCAAUUCAAAUUUUUAGCGCCUACUUCAUACCUUUGAAACCAUUCUAAGGCUUUCCCCUCCAAAUGAAUUGACACAAAAUUCACCAUCUCCUUCUCCUCAACUCCAUUAUACUUAAAAAAUUGCUCACAUUUAUAAUCCCAACCACUUGGAUUUUCACCAUUAAAAAUAGGGAAAUUCAAUCUUGGAAACUUUUUUUGGAAUUGAUUCAUACUAGUUUAUUGUCCAUGGGGUUGCUUGGUCGCUCUAGCACCUUUCGACAACUCUCCAAGUUUUGCAAAUUUAGCAACCAAUUGCUUAUACUUAAGGUUCAUUUCCAUUACCAGCCUAGUCAAUUCUGUGAUGGCAGCAACUUAUUUGUCAGAAUUUUCCUUCAGUUGUCAAACGACCUCUUCCAUUCGUUUGACUUCCUGUGCUCUAGUCCUCUGACUGUUUUAGGUGGAGGAAGAUUAGAAAUGAGAUCCACCUUGGCUUUGUCAACCUCAAUACCUUUGCUCGAAAUGAUGUGACCGAGAACAAUACUUUGUUUUACCAUAAAAUGGCACUUCUCCCAAUUCAAGACUAAGUUCUUCUCGGUACAUCUCUGUAGAACUAGCGUUAGAUGAUGUAAACAUUGAUCAAACGAGUCACCAAAGACAGAAAAGUCAUCCAUAAAGACUUCAAGGAAUCGUUCAACCAUAUCAGAAAAAAUGCUUAACAUGCAUCGUUGAAAUGUAGCAGGUGCAUUACAUAAUCCAAAUGGCAUUCUCCUAUAUGCAAAAGUGCCAAAAGGGCAAGUGAAAGUAGUUUUCUCCUGAUCUUUUGGUGCUAUGGGAAUCUGAUUAUAUCCUGAGUAGCCAUCUAGAAAGCAAUAAAAUUCAUGGCCUGCUAAUCUAUCAAGCAUUUGAUCAAUAAAUGGUAAAGGAAAAUGGUCUUUACGUGUGACAGAAUUCAACUUUCUAUAAUCAAUGCAUACACGCCAUCCUGUAGUUACUCUAGUUGGUAUCAAUUCAUUAUCAGCAUUGGUAACUACUGUGACUCCUGACUUUUUGGGGACAACUUGUACAUGACUGACCCAUGAACUAUUAGAAAUUGGGUAAAUGAUACCUGCGUCUAAUAGCUUAAGGACUUCUGUUCUAACAACUUCUUUCAUAUUAGGAUUUAACCGACGUUGCAUUUCCCUAGUAGAUUUAGCAUUUUCAUCAAGGUGAAUGUAAUGCAUGCAGUCUACUGGGUUUAUACCUUUUAUGUCCGCUAUGGUCCAUCCUAAUGCUCCUUUGUGCUCUUUUAAAACAUCCAACAACUUACCUUUUUGUUCGUCAUUGAGGGAUGAUGAAAUGAUUAUCGGUAGAGUACUUUCUUCUCCCAAAAAUGCAUAUUCCAAAGUGUUGGGUAAUGGUUUGAGCUCGAGUUUCGGUGGUGAUUCUGAUGAUGGGAUGAGUUUCUUUUCUGAUGGUGAUAGUUGUUCUACUCUUGACUUCCAUUUAUUAGUGUCCAUGGAUGGUGCUGAGUCAAGUAGGGCGUUGACCUCUUCGACCGAUCUGUCAAUAUCAAAAUCCAAACCAAAGUGAGUUAAACAUGUUUGUGAAGGAUCAUCACUAAGGUUUGAAAGAAAAGUAUUAUCAACUAUUGUUUCUAUUAAAUCCACAUCAACAAUUCCAUCAUCUGCACUGUGAGGUUGUUUGGCAAUGUUGAAAAUGUUCAGCUCCAUAGUCAUGUUGCCGAAGGACAACUGCAUAUUUCCAGUCCUACAUUGAAUAUGAGCAUCUGCAGUUGCCAAGAAAGGUCGGCCUAGAAUAAUGGGGAUGUGCUUCCUUGAGUCCUGUAUUGGUUGAGUGUCAAUUACAAUGAAAUCAACAGGAAAAUAAAACUUGUCUACCUGGAUAAGCACGUCCUCCACAAUACCACGAGGUAUUUUCGUGGACCGAUCUGCAAGCUGUAACACCACUGGAGUUGGGUGUAAUUCUCCCAGUCCAAGUUUCAAAAAUACUGAGUAAGGUAAUAGAUUUACACUAGCUCCUAAAUCCAACAAAGCAUUCUCAAUUGUGUGGUUCCCUAUACUACAUGAGAUAGUGGGGGAGCCUGGGUCUUUGCAUUUUAAAGGAAUUUUAUGUUGGAGUAUAGAACUAACAUUUUCUGUUAAAAAUGCCUUCUUUUGAACAUGCAUAUUUCUCUUUUUAGUACAAAGGUCUUUAAGAAACUUGGCAUAAGAUGGAACUUGCUUUAUAGCAUCAAGUAAAGGGAUGUUAACACUUACCUGUUUGAAGAUUUCGAGAAUCUCACCUGUGGAUUUUCCCUUCUUUCCUUUCGUUAACCUCUGAGGAAAUGGAGCUUUGGGAACGUAUUCUUGUGGGUUGGUUUCUUCUUUUUCCUCCGGUGGUGAGUCCUCAACAUUCACAGGUACAAUUUGAUUUUCUUUUGUCACCGGCAUCUCCACUUUGUUGUCGACUUCCUUUCCUUUUCGCAAGGUCAUGACUGCUUUGACCUCUCCAUGCUGCUGUGGUGAACUGGUACUUGCUUCAUGUACCCCUUUAGGAUUAGGCACUGGUUGACUUGGAAAUUUUCCUUUCUCAACAGUCAUUGCCAAGGUCUGAACUGAAGAAGCAAGUUGUCCCACCAUCUUCUCGAGGCUUGAAACUGAUUGAGCUUGUGAAUUGAAGCCUGCUCUCAACUCAUUUCGUAGUCCAUCAAUGGUGCGGUUCUGUUGCUCAAUCGUAGAGUGAGUAGCAUUCUUGAAAUUCUGGAAUGAAUUCUCCCAUGGUCUGGGUUGAGAGUAGUUUUGGUUCUGAUUGUAUGGUCUAAAUGGGGGCUGAGAGGCUUGAGGAUUUUGAGGAAUUGGUUGCAUUGGUGGAGCUGGAGCUGCUGGUCCAUUCUGUUGGAAUCCUUGAGACCAUGAAAAAUUGGGGUGAUCUCUCCAUCCAGGGUUAUAUGUGUUGGAGUAUGGGUUGUAAUUCGAUGGUUUUCUCAUUACACCUAUGGCAUUGGCUUGAUCGGAGUAUGAGUCAUGGUCAUGUGGUUCUGUUGAUUUAGCAGUCGAUAACGAUGCUAUUUGUCGAGCGAGACCUUCAACCAUCUCCUUGACUUCUUUGAUUCCCGAAGUUGACUCGCCAAUUUAAACCUCAUUUACUCCCUUAAUUCUUCUAGUAUUCCUGAGUGAUCGACUCCGUUGUUGGGAAUUAUCCGCUUGUCGCUGGAAGAAUUCCCAAAUCUCUGAUGCACUUUUUGACAUUAGCUCUCCUCCACUUGUUGCCAUUAGCCAUUCUUGCACAUUCGGCAAUAAUCCCUCCAAAAAGUAUUGGCAUUGGUGCCAUUUCUCGUACCCAUGAUGUGGACACUUCAAGAGUAGCCCAUUGAAUCGCUCCCAAGUUUCGAAAAACUGCUCGUCCUCUCUUUGUGUAAACUCUGAAAUUUCCCUGCGAAUAGAAUUGAUUUUAUGCACUGGGAAAUAUUUAUUUAGAAAUUUUGUAACCAUUUGUUCCCAUGAUGCAAUGCUAUUAGCAGGCAAAGUAUUUAACCAUGAACGAGCUCUAUCCUUUAAAGAAAAUGGGAAUAAUCUAAGUUUAACAUCAUCGUCUGAAAAAUUUUCAUAUUUAAAAGUUUGACAAAUUGCAUGAAAAUCAUUCAGAUGAUUAUAUGGGUCCUCAUUUUCUAGGCCAUAGAAUGUGGGGAGACAAUUUAGCACACUAGGUUUUAAUUCAAAACUCCUAGCAGCUACAUUUGGGUAUCUUAUGCAUGAUGUGCUCAAAUUAGCUAAGGGACUAAAAUAGUCCUUAAAUGGCCUCUCCUGUGGUGCUUGUAAAUCCAUUCCAAAUUUAUUUUUAAUGUGCUUUUGUGUGCGAAGUGUUUUUUCUAAUUCAAGGUCUAUAGGUUCAAGAUUAGGUAAUAAUGACCUACGACCAUGCAUGCAAAAUAAAUAAAAUAAAAAUAAAGAUGGGAACAAAACAAAUAAAAAUAAAGAAGAGGGAGAAAUUACGAUACUAACCUUAUUGCGCUAUUACAACCUUUCUAUAAAAAUACACAAAAACAAAUACGUGAAAUAAAUUAACUAAAAAUUAAAUUAAUAAAAUACACAAAAAUUACAAAGAAAAAAUAAAUUGAAAAUUAAAUUACAGAAUUUUUUUUAAAAAAGAAAAGAAAUACUAACCUUUAAAUGUAGAUUUACUUUUUUUUUUCUUUUUUUUAAUAAUAAAAAAAUACAAGAAAACAAAUAAAAGAAAUUAUUCACAAAAAUUAAUUCUAUGAAUUAAAAUUACUUACCUCCCCGGCAACGGCGCCAAAAACUUGUUGUGCAAAUUUUAAUGAACUCGCAAGCGCACGCAUCUAUUGUAGUAUAGAUCAAUGGUGACGAGUGUCGAUCCCACGAGGAGGUGGAUUUUAAUUGUGUAUAGAAUUAAUUUUGCAAAUGGUUGAUUGGAUCUGUGGUGGAAAUGAUUUAGAAUAUGCUAAAACUUAAAUUAAAAUGGCAAGAAUAAAUUCUGAAAUUGGAAUUGAAAUGGCGAGAAUAAAUUGAAGAGAAUUCUAUUGAAAUGACGUACUUGGGUAUCUGGAUCCGUAUCAACAUGCAUCAUGGGCUAAAUAUUCCUUAUUAAUACCAAUUAAAUCAUGAGGGGGGAAUCCACACCUCAUGAACCACGCUCUAAUCAAUAUGGUGCUAAGGGCUUAUCGUGCCAAAUAAUAAUAACCUUAUACUAGAGAGCCGGUGUAACCAAGGCGGUAUCUAGACAAGAUCAGUAUUAUUUGUCGACGAUAAGUCAAAUCAUCCACAAAAACUAGAGGGGAAAAGAAAAUAAAUUUACCAAAUAAAGCCCAUGACACAUGUUGAGACUUCACCUUCAACCCAAGCUUGAAAGGAAAUUAGCUACUCAUAAUUGAACUAGGGGCAAAAUGGGAAUUUAUUAAAAUACAAAGAAAAUACAAGAUGGAGAAGGAAUUACAGAAAAUGGAUCCCAAAAAUGGAUUCAGAGAUAUCAAAUUAGGGGGGAGAGGCCCCCUUUUUAUAGAUACAUGGAGUAAAUCAUGGCCAUCAGAUUAAAAACAGUUUGGACGCUCAGGAUUGCGCCACGUCAUCAGUCAACAGUCCACGGUUUGACCACGUGGAUGAACAGUAAUAUGGUUUGACCUGGAUGAACAGUAACACGAUUUGGUUGAAAAUAAUCCUGUGUGAUGCAUGCACCGUACGCGAGAUUUUUCGUCCACUGAUAUGCUGCCACGUCACCAUCAACAGUACAUAAGAAUUUUAGUCCAACAGGAUCGUGACACCUCAUCAGUCAAUGCCACAUCAUCGGUCAAUGCCACAUCAUCGUCCGUCAAUGUGAACAGUAUCGUGAACAGUAACGUAUACAGUACCGUACACGUGAAUAGUACCGUACAUGUGAAUAGUGCCAUUUUUCCUUUUAUGCCCCUCCUAAGGUUUUCGACCGUCCUGAGUUCAAAAGUGAUGUCCGUUUUGCCGUCUGAUCUCUCCUUUAUUGUGAAAUGACUAUAAUGCCCUUAAAAUACAUAAAAUACUUAAUUAAAAUAACACACGCGUAAUUACAUCACAAGAAGGUUAAAUACAUAAAAGUAAGAGUUGUUAGUAAGACUUGAAAUGUAAAAUGAUGGUUUUCUCCUUUAUAAAUAUGCAUUUUCUAACACUCAACAAUGACCUUACAAGACCAAAUCAUGUGUUACAUGACCUAGUUAUAAUCGGCACAAUCCAUCGAUUUUUCACAAUUUACAUGCAGCAAAACAACUAAAAAUUUAUUUUUGAAUAUAUUAUGAGAGGCCCACAACUAAUUAAUCUAUUUUUUCAAUAUAAAACCCUAAAUUUUUUUAUUUUUCCAUAAAUAUCAACAAGAAAGUUAAUUAUAAGGCAUUACUUACCUCCAAUAGUUAAAGGAUCAACUCUCACCGGUGAUUGUGCAGUGACGAAUUAGGCUUCUUGAUUUACUCGUAUUGAUAUUCGAUUUAGCAUGUAUGAAGUAUGAGUGUUUGUUUAAGCAAAGUAGUUAUGUUUGAGUUGAAAUGUUUUAAAAUAAGGAUAAUUUAGUAAUUUUAUAUUAAUUUUUAAAAGAUAUUGAUGAAAAUUUUGGUGAAUUCUGUUUUUAGAGUAGUUAGAUAAUUUUUAAAGUAUCAAGUUGUAUCUACUGCAAUUUCCUCGUAAAUUGGAUCCCAAAAAAAAAAAAUUGAUCCAAUAGAAAAAACCUAUAAUAUGUUGGUCCACCAACAAUGCGGCCAAAUUAGCCUUUCGCUUUGAGCUUCCCCUCGUGGACUGUUGUAACUUGUAAUCCCCAUGGUCCCAAUUACCCACUAAUAUACUAUUAUCCUAACUUUUAAUCCAAACCGUUAGAUACAAUUGCUCAAAAUCCAACGGUUGUCGUGAAAUCUAAAAAGUCAACCGUGAAAUUCAAAAUGAAUUUUGCAAAGAGAAAUGAAAGGGUAGUUUAAUACUUUAAUUAGUCAUUAAUGCCCUCUAUUUUCCAUUUGAAUCAGAAAAAGGAAGCCACCGGACCGAUCGACACUCGACGGACAAAAAAAUGCCAAAGUUCACUCUUGACAAUUCCUUUCGUUUCGGCAGCCGAAACGAAACUAUCACUAACUUUCACUCUGAAUCUAUUGAGAAGAUAAUAAAAAAGUUGACUAAAGAUUGGCUUGGGCAGUUUGCACGCGAAGAGCAGAUCCAGGCCGAUCUGAUUGGGUGGAAGAAGAUGUUUGUGAAGAUUAAUGAGGUGCUAGAUGAUGCGGUGGAGAAACAGACGAAGGAGUCAGUGAAGAGGUGGCUAGGCAAACUUCGCAACUUGGCUUGCGAUGUUGAUUACUUGCUGGAUGAGUUUCAAACGGAAGCUUUCCAGAGGAUGUUGCUGCAAGAUGAUGAUGAUGUGAUGUCUAAAGUAAAGGUGGUCGAUGCUAGAAUGCAAGAUAUUGCAUCGCAGAUAGACCCACUAGAUUUGAGAAAAAAAUCAGCUGGGAAGUCUAGAAAUGUCGGCAGAGUAAUCUUGUCGGCAGUAAGGCUAGGAGGAGGAGGCAGAGAUCCUCCAGGCUUAGCUUUCUCGCGAAUAAAAAUCUUUAGUAAGUCAGAGCUGCUAAAAGCCACCAAAAAUUUUCAUCACUGUCUUGGUAUGGGUGGUUUUGGCUCUGUUUACAAAGGUGUCUUACCUGACAAUACCCAGGUUGUGGUGAAGAAGUAUAUAUGUGCAGAUGAGAUGCAGAUAACAGAAUGGGAAUUUCUUGGCAUUAUUUCACAAGUGAAGCAUAAGAAUGUGGUCAAGAUAUUAGGGCUAUGUCUAGAAACCAAAGUGACGCUACUUGUUUAUGAAUUUGUUUCCAAUGGAGCUCUGUCUCACUAUAUCCAUGAUAAGAGUUCACAAGUUUUAAAAAAUUGGAAAACUUGUCUGAGGAUUGCGGCCGAAACUGCCUCAGCUAUUCACUAUCUGCAUUCUCUAGCAAGCCCUUCAAUCAUUCACAGUGAUGUAAAGUCCGCCAACAUACUCUUGGAUGACAAUUAUACGGCAAAAGUGUCUGACUUUGAGUCUUUAGUUCCGAUUUCGUCUGACGAUGAAACUGCAAUGAGCACGAUGAUAAGAGGGACUGUAGGUUACUUAGAUCCAGAGUAUGCACACACAGGUAAUUUUCUUUUCUUUCUCAAUUGUCUUUUUUAUUGAUGGCCUCAUGGCGUGCCCAAUUUUUUCCUCUACGCAAGCCAAUUUGAACCCCAGAUCUUUUGCGACUUCCCAAAUUUUUUUACUAGUUAGGCUAACUAGCACCCAACUAAUGACAGGUAUAUUAACAAAGAAGAGCGACGUGUAUAGCUUUGGGGUUGUCCUUGUAGAAUUGUUAACCGGCAUGAACCCCAACUCUUACGUGGCAUUGGCAUCCAAUGAGAAGAUUAGUAUGGUUCCAUAUUUUCUAGAUUCGAUUGAAAAUAAUAGUUUUCGUCAGAUUCUGAACUUUCAGGUUGCUGAUGAAAGUGAAAUGGAGGAGAUAGAAGUUGUUGCUGAGCUUGCAAGUAAAUGCCUAAGAAUUAGAGGCACCGAAAGGCCAACAAUGAAGGAAGUUUCUGAGGAGCUUGACAGGUUGAGGAGGUUGCAAGAAAAUUAUUGGGCACGGAAGAACAAUGAAGAGUCAGAGCAUUUAUUAGGUGAAUCAUCAACAUAUGCAACGGCUGUGAUUGCCCAACCAGAAACUCAGACUGUGGUGUCAAUUGAUAUUGAGAACUAUUACGGUACGUGAUCCGAUCUCGAUCAUCGUUAAAAAUAAGUUUCGGUUUGCUCCACAAUUAAUUUGUCUUUGAAGAAUUUUACUGACUUGUAUUGACACGAUGUUUCUUAAUGCCCUUCACUAGAACCAGAAAGGAAAAGCCACUGUUCUACAGAGAAAAAGAUGCCAGAGUUCACUCUCGGUAAUUCCUUUCAUUAUGGCAGCCAAAAACAAACCAUCUCUGACCUUGACUCUGAAACUAUUGAGAUGCUACUAACAAAGAUGACUUCGGAUCGGCUCUGGCAGUUUGCACACGAAGAGAAGAUCCAGGACGAUCUGAUUGGGUGGAAGAAGAUGUUGGUGAAGAUUAACGAGGUGCUAGAUGAUGCCAUGGAGAAGCAGACGAAGGAGGAGUCAGUGAAUAUGUGGCUAGGCCAGCUUCAGAACUUGGCUUGCGAUGUUGAUUACUUGUUUGAUGAAUUACAAACGGAAGCUUUCCAAAGGAAGUUGCUGCUAGGCGAUGAUGCCAUGGAUAAGUUUGAUUCCAUGGCGAUGUCUAAAGUAAAGGAUGUCAAUGCUAGCUUUCAAGAUAUUGCAUCGCAGAUAGACCUACUAGGAUUGAAAGAAAGUUCAGUUGGGAAGUCAUGAAAUUUCAGGCAAAGAGUACGUGCAACCCUUCGGUGAGUCAACCCAAUGUGUAAGUACUGUGAUAUUCAAACAAAAAGUUUUGAUAGUCAUCGAAAAUAGUAAUUUACUCCUGCCACAAGUUUGGUAAGUUGAAAAUGUUCAUAGCUCAAAUUAUACCACCUAAUGAGUUAUAAUGCUCACUUGUAGUCACCUCGGUAUUUGGUUUGAAAAAAAAAUGAUAUGGUAGUUUCAAUUGUUGAAUUCUUGUCAUUGCAAAUAACAAUGGCACCAAUGCCUGCUGCCAGAAAAUUUCAAAAUUUCACUAGUUGUUUUUACCUAGUUUCAUUUUUGGUCGAAAUGAAACUUCUAUUAAUAAUUAUUAUACAGUAUGGUUAUAAAUAAUCAUGUAUUUAUAACAAAUUUAACAAAACUAUUAAAAAUAUUGUUACAUUUUCGAUGCUAACUUCCUAUCAUUGAAAAUGGUAUUGGCGCAAUUAAUUUCUUGCCAAAAAUAAAUAUUAACAAUUAAUUAUUAAGUUAUUUUUUUUAACAGUUAUUCCCUAUUGAAAACACGGGACAUUACUUUAUUCUUUUAGCGACAAACUAAUUGUUACAAUAAAAAAUAAUCAUAUUUUCAACUAAAUUUUUCCUGCGAUUAGCAAUGUUGGUCCGAAAAGUCUAUUUUUCUUGUAGUUAUGCAACGGCUUUGAUUGCCUAACUGGACACCGGUGUCAUUUGAUUUUGAGAAUUAUUACUGUAUGUGAUAGGACCAGUGCUGUCCACCAGAAGCUUAUCAUGUUCAGUGGCUUACUGUCUUGCUUCUUUGGGGAAAAUAGCAUGAGGUGGGUGUGAGAAGUUUGCAAAGCCGAGCUACCAUGAAGCAAUGGAAAGAUGAUUGCUAUUAAGAAGAUUGUUCUGCCUCCGAUGGAUACCGCAGAUUUGAUUGAAGAAGAUGGUAAGUUACUGAACAUGAUAAUGAUGCAAAUUCGGUCUGGGAUUAAAACUACGGGUCAAAUUAGGCACAGGAAUCUUCAUGCUUUGCAGGCUCAUAUAACCAGGCCUGACUGCCAUUUACUCAGUGGACAGAAUGCCAUUUACUCAGUCCAAAGUGGCAAUAUACUGCCAAGUCUAGGUUGUUGGGACGUUACCAUGCUCCCUGAUUGAGUUGUACAAUUAUCAUGAUCCCCUUCUUGAGUUUACUUUUUAAGUUGUAUAAUUAUGAGGUUCACGACAUUGUUAACAAACUAAAAACUAUUUCUGAAAUGUGGUAUAUUUUUUAUUUCAUGUGGUAUAUUUUUUAUUUCAACUGACAAUAGUCAUGUCAGUUUUAUGGCAGCACAUCCCUACAACUCAACAAAGGAUGGUCAAUUGCAAAACCUAAGCCUGUUAUUUAUUUAUUUAUUUUUCAUUAAAAAAAAAGUAUAGCAAGGACAACUGAAUUCAAUAAGCAAUAGGCAAGUGUUUUCUAGUUAUUCCCCAGAAAAGGUUCCUUCAAAAGCAACAAGCCGUGGACAGAUGCUUAUUGUUUUGAAGAUUGAUCACUUUUGCACUUUGAAUGACCCAGAGGAUAGACCUAACAGCAAGGAUGUUUGGUGCGUGUUGUCUCAGAUCCACCACCAACUACCGUACAUGUGGAUGUUUUCAAAUGUGCAAGAAUACGUUAUUUGUGACGAACAUUGAUUGCUUUCUAGUUAAGUUGUAUAAUUAUUAUGACCCUUCUGAGUUUAUACUUUAAAUGAUUUAUAAUGUGGUUCAUGACAUUGUAGUUGAACAAACUAAAAAUAUUUCUGAAAUGUGGUAUAUUUCCUAUUUCAAUCAUUUGGUUGCAUUUUUUCCCCCCAUUUUGUUUUUUCAGACAAAAGGCCCCAUUCAUUGAAUAAGAAAAGCAAAUGUGAGCACAAGUAUGAAAUCAAAUGUUCGCAAGUGUUUUUUUUUUUCCUCUCUCUCUCCCUUAGAAGUAAGAGGCACUCUGUUCGGAUGAAAUAUGUUAUUACACAGCCUAAAAAAUGAGGCUCAAGAAAAUCGAAGUUUUUUAAAUAUUUAAAAGAAAAAUUGCUCUCAUAUUCGCAUACUAGGAAGUUGAGCCCCUUCCUCUAAUAAGGGAAUUGGGAUACCACCCACCUCAGGUUUCCCAAAAUGUUUGAAAGUCCAUGAUAGCAUUAAAAAUGCAGUAGGAUGCUUAUUAUCAGGAUCAUAUACAACAUAAGACAAAAAUAUACCGUUUCUGCUAGUUUUUUUUUUUUUUUUUCCUACAUUGCUGCAUUCAUAUUUCUCAAUUUUCUAGCUCUAGGUUUGCAUUUUUGUAGCGCCUUGCAUCUCAUGAGGGUAAUGCUCAUUAUAUCUCCUGACUGGGUGUCAUAUUUUUUUUUUAAUUAAUAAAUUUCUCUCAUACCGUUGAGGUUUUGCCCACAAAACCAAAAAGGAAAAAAAAAAAAAUGAGAGAAACAGAAAAAGAGAACCACAUAACAUUGUGGAGACAGAGCAAGCUGUUUGUACUAAAGUGAAUAGAAGAAGAACGACUGCAGUAACAGAGAUAGAUGCCCACUGACUAUUGAAAUAAUCUUGUUUCAAUAUUGCCUUCCAUCUGCGUCAAGGGUAUCUGUUCUUCAGAUCUUCAACAAGAUCUGUAUAUUGAAAAUUUUAGCAGACGACGAAGUUUCUUUGGACAUGGGUUGUGAAAAAGAGUCGACACAGCUUCGUUGUCCCAUUGCCAAUUUUCAAUAACUCGGUUUUCAACAAAGUAAUCCAACAUCCCGUGCCGUGUUGACGAGGUAAGUCAUGACUAUAACAGGUUGACGCGUGUACCUGCUGCCACCACAAUACAAUCUCUCAAAAGUUUGAGAAUUUCUGAACAAAAUUUCUGAGGAUUGGCUGAUUCUCAUUAGUGGAAUUUCCAGGAUGCCAUUUAUUGAAACUGAAAGUAAUUUCAAAUAGCUUUUUGCUUGAGACCAAUGUGAAACUUGACUCCAGCUUGGCAGAAAUUGCUUAAAGCAAAUCAAUUCAAAUUCAUUAAAUUGAAGUUCCACCAGCGAUCGGCUCAACUUAAUAUUUGUUUUAUUGAAAAAAAUAAAAGACAAAUGACAAAACCGUGUUCGUCCCACAUGAUGAGUUAUUCCUCUCUUUCCCUUUUGGACUUUCGUGUGCGUGGUUGUGUAACACACCCACACCUAAGUCAGACAAAUCUUCGUCUCCUUGUUACAUUGGAACCCUUGCUUGCUUACACAAUUACUUGUUAAUGCGUCACUAUAAACGAGAGUCCUAAUUUUAUUCCUAAAUUAUAAUUAUUAAUUGUUAAUUUAUAUUUAUUAUUAUUUAAUAAUAUAUUUUCCAUAAACAAACUAUUAAAUUCAUACAAAAUCUCCUUUCAACAUUAUAAUUAACAAAUUUAGUCCAUUUAUUUUCUAAAAAAUAUCUAUUUAAUGUUGUAAAUUAUAACGUUAUAUAUUUCAUUCAAAACUCAAUAAAAACCACAUAUUUGUUAAAUUAUUAUCCGUUAAUAUCUUUUUCCAAUAGAAAAUAAAAAACACUAUACUUUCAAUGUUUUGGUGAAAAAAUUACUUUCUCUACUCUGCUUUUCGCUUAAGAAAAAAAAUCAAUUGUUUUACUUUUCAUUGAUCAUUGCUACUAGAAACCCCAAUCAUCAAAGUAAAAGUUUCCAAUUUUUUUCUAGGUUUUAUCUUUUCAUUCUUUUUUCAAUUAGUUGUGUUAUUUAUUUAUUUUUAAAUAUUAUUGUGUUCUUAUUUUUUUAAAUUUAAUUAUCAAGCAUAUCAUCUAUUGAGAAAGAUAUGUUAACGCUGAAAUCUGGUCAAGUUAGUUAGUGGCUUGAUCUCGAACCCCUAUAUCAGUAUUAAAUUUGUUUGGUAGAGAAGCAGCUUGCCUAUGUCUAAGGACACCCAACGACCACUAGUAGAUAAUCCGCAAGCAGAUGAUCCUUAAGCACCUAAAACCACAAAAAAGAGUUAGAGACGCUGGAAUUUUUUCUGACGUUAACCCUCCAACACUCAAAUCAAUUUAUAAAUUUACAAAAAAAAAUAAAUAAAUAGUUUCUAUUUCAAACAACAAAAGCAGAGUGUGUAGGGGAUCAAAGGGUGAGAAAAGAAAACCAAGUGCCAAUUAAUCGGCUUAAUCUACGUGCCUUUAAGAGAAGCCAUUUAUUGACUUGGAAAAAGAUUAGGGGAGGAGAGCCAAGGGUCACUCAAUUGCCCAAAUUUCCUUCUUCUUCUCCUUUUUCUUCUCAUGCCUGGCCCCUCCACUUUCGUUAUUUUUCUCCUUUUUAUACUAGGAAAAUUAGAAUAUAAAAAUUUGAUUACGUUGUAAACACAAUGGUGAACUUUCACCAUUUAUCCGACAUUGGCAAAUUACUCCCCCCCCCAAAGCUUCCCAACUACAUGUAUAUAUAAUGUAUUCCUUUGUUCUCGUAACAACAAAGAUUGGCUUAAAAUUAAGCUUAAUAACAAGGUACUAAGGGUACUUUGUUUAAUUCAAAAAUUUUUGUUAUUUAUUUAUUUUAUAACACAUUAAUAAUUUGGCAUCUCAGAAAACUAAAAAUUUUAAUUGUAAAUAAAUAAAUCUUAAAUAAAAGCAAAUCAUAUAUUUUACCUCAAAUAUUUUGGAAAGCCUAAUUAAUACAAGAGUACUGAUAUUCAACCACCACAUAUUAUCUCACAAGACCCUUUUUUUUUUUUCCCUUCACCAUCUGCUUCUAAAUUCCCUUAUGUUCUAUCAAAAUUAUCUUUUUCUUUUUAAAGAAUUGUAUCAACAAACUUAGAUGCAAGUCUAUCAUUCAUUAUUUAAUUUUUUGAAAAAAAUUAAUCGUCUGUUAUGUAAGUGUUUAUUAGAGGCUCUUUUAGAACAAAUAAAUUUCUAAAGUUCAAUAUUUUAGAUUGAAAAAGAAAAAAAUUUUAAAAAAAUCAAAGUGAGAUUAUGUUGCACUGCUCAUCAAAUCGCUGUAGCAUGAAUGGAAUACUUUGUUUCCAAAAAUAAAAACAUUUGACCCUUAUGACAUGCAAGUAAAAAUGCAUAAGAGAAGAGAUGCUGGGUUACUGAGUUCGAUUGAAAAGUAAAUACAGCACAAUUUCUGUCCAUUAUGGUAAUUUCAAUAUUAGAGGAGUCUCAUUCUCAUGAGAUGAAAUGCUGGACCGAAUAACUACACUCCUAAACAAUUCGCCCAAGGCCCAAAAUAUAGAAUGCCCUCCAAUUUCCAUUUGAAUCAGAAGGAAGAAGGCACCAGACCGAUCGACAGAGAAAAAAAUGCCAAAGUUCACUCUCAGUAAUUCCUUUCGUUUCGGCAGCCGAAGAGAAGCUAUCACUAACUUUGACUCUGAAUCCAUUGAGACGAUCCUAAAAAAGUUGAAUAAAGAUUGGCUUGGGCAGUUUGCACGGGAAGAGCAGAUGCAGGCCGAUCUGAUUGGGUGGAAGAAGAUGUUGUUGAAGAUUAAUGAGGUGCUAGAUGAUGCCCUGGAGAAGCAGACGAAGGAGGAAUCAGUGAAGAAGUGGCUAGGCAAUCUUCGAAACUUGGCUUGCGAUGUUGAUUACUUGUUGGAUGAGUUUCAAACGGAGGCUUUCCAGAAGAUGUUGCUGCUAGAUGAUGAUGUGAUGUCUACAGUUAAGGAGGUCAAUGCUAGAUUGCAAGAUAUUGCAUCGCAGAUAAAACAACUAGAUUUGAGAAAAAAAUCAGGUAGAAAGUCCAGAAAUGUCCGCGGAGUAAUCUCGUCGGCAGUAAGACGAGGAAGAGGAGGUAGAGAUCCUGGCCCUACAAUCUAUAGUCAUCCAGGCUUAGCUUUCUUGCGAAUGAAAAUUUUUAGCAAGUCAGAGAUGAUAAGAGCCACCAAAAAUUUUGAUAGGAGUCGCUGUCUUAGUCAAGGUGGCUUUGUCUCUGUUUACAAAGGUGUCUUACACGAUAAUAUCCAGGUUGCGGUGAAGACGUAUAGACGGGCAGAUAAGAUCCGCAUAACAGAACGGGAGCUUCUGCGCAUUAUUUCACAAGUAAACCAUAAGAAUGUGGUCAAGAUAUUAGGGCUAUGUCUAGAAACCGAAGUGCCUCUCCUGGUUUAUGAAUUUGCUUCCAAUGGAACUCUGUUGGACCAUAUCCGCUGCGAGAGUUCACAGGUUUUAAAAACUUGGAAAACUUGUCUGAGGAUCGCGGCUGAAACUGCUUCAGCUCUUGACUAUUUGCAUUCUUUAGCAAGCCCUCCCAUCAUUCACGGAGACGUAAAGUCCGCCAACAUACUCUUGAAUGACAAUUAUACGGCAAAAGUGGCUGAUUUUGAGUCUUCAGUGUUGAUUUCGUCUGAUGCUGAAACUGCAAUGAGCACGAUUCUAAUAGGGACUUGUGGUUACUUAGAUCCAGUGUGUAUAAACACAGGUAUUUUUUUAAAAAAAUUAAAAAAAAUUGUGUUUUUAUUAAUAGCCUCAUGGCAUGUUCAAUUUUUUUCCCCUAAAUAAACCAGUUUGAACCCCAAAUCUUUUGUACCAGCACCGCCUUAAAACUUUUUGCUAGUUAAUCUAACUAGCACCAAACAAUGACAGGUAAAUUGACGAAGAAGAGUGAUGUGUAUAGCUUUGGAGUUGUCCUUGCGGAAUUGUUAACCGGCAAGAAACCUGGCUCUUGCAUGACAUUGGCAUCCAAUAAGAAGAUUAGCAUGGUUCCUUAUUUUCUAAACUCGAUUAAAAAUAAUGGUUUGCGUCAGAUUCUGAACUUUCAUGUUGCUGAUGAAAGUGAAAUGAAGGAGAUAGAAAUUGUUGCUGAGCUUGCAAGUAAAUGCCUAAGAAUUAGAAGCACCGAAAGGCCAACAAUGGAGCAAGUUUCUGAGGAGCUUGACAGGUUAAGAAGGUUGCAUGAAAAUUUUUGGGCACAGAAGAAAAAUAAAGAGACAGAGCAUUUAUUAGGCGAAUCAUCAUCAUAUGCAACGGCUGUGAUUGCCCAACCAGACGCUCAGACUGUGGUGUCAAUCGAUAUUGAGAACUAUUACGGUACGUGAUCGGAUCUCGGUCAUCGUUAAAAAUAAGUUUGGGUUUGUUCCACAAUUAAUUUGUCUUUAAAGAGUUUUUGCUGACUUGUAUAGACACGAUGUUUCUUAAUGCCCUUCACUAGAAUCGGAAAGAAGAAGCCACAGUUCUACAGAAAAAGGGAUGCCAGAGGUCACUCUCGAUAAUUCUUUUCGUUUCUGCAGCCAAAAGCAAACCAUCUCUGACUUACACUCUGAAACUAUUGAGAAGCUACUAAAAAGGAUGUCUUCGGAUUGGCUCUGGAAAUUUGCACGCCAAGAGCAGAUCCAGGUCGAUCUGAUUGGGUGGAAGAAGAUGUUGGUGAAGAUUAACGAGGUGCUAGAUGAUGCCAUGGAGAAGCAGACGAAGGAGGAGUCAGUGAAUAUGUGGCUAGGCCAGCUUCAGAACUUGGCUUGCGAUGUUGAUUACUUGUUUGAUGAAUUACAAACGGAAGCUUUCCAAAGGAAGUUGCUGCUAGGCGAUGAUGCCAUGGAUAAGUUUGAUUCCAUGGCGAUGUCUAAAGUAAAGGAUGUCAAUGCUAGCUUUCAAGAUAUUGCAUCGCAGAUAGACCUACUAGGAUUGAAAGAAAGUUCAGUCGAGAAGUCAAGAAAUGCCAGGCAAAGAGUACCCACAACCCCUUCGGUGAGUGAAGCCAAUGUGUUGGUACUUCGAUAUUCAAACAAAAAGUUUUGAUAUAAUGCUUUUAAUAAUAAUGCUGACAAAAUACAGUGAUUAAAAGCUGUUUACUCAUUUAAUUGAUAAGAUAAAAUAAAUUGGGCAUUGUUUUGUUAGUCAAUGACAGUGCCACCUAAGGUUUAAAAAAAGAUUUUAAUUCUUAAUUUCACCCAAAUUUUGUGUUUCUCUCUAGCAAAAUUUGUGAUUUUUCCCCAUUAGCUUUGAAUAAAAUACGAAAGAAAAAUUACAAAAUUACAUUAUCAUCAAUCAACUUAAAAUAUAUACAUUAUAUCCAAAAUUUAAUUAAAACACUUAAAUGGGGAUCAAAUUCUUGGAGUAAUAAAAUUUAACCCCACAGGCUCUGCCACUGUUUUAAAGUUGCUCUCUUUAGCAUUUUCACUAAUUUAUGUUAGAAAAAAGAUAAAGAGGAGAUUGUUAAACUGCUAAUGCGAGAAAAAUAAAGACUAAUUGGUAAUGCUAAUUCCGUUUUGUGUUCUGUUCUUUUUUAAAGCAAAUCUCGGAUGCACAAAGAGGUGGAGGUGGAGAUCCUGGCCCUGCGAACUUUAGUCGUUCAUUAAUCGAGAAAGCUAAGGACUUAGCUUUCUUGCAUCAGCCAGUGCCAAUUUUUACCAAGUCAGAACUAUUACAAGCCACUGGAAAUUAUGAUACACGUCUAUUUCUUGGUGAAGGUGGUUUUGCCUCUGUUUACAAAGGCGUCUUACCUGACUGUACCCCAGUUGCAGUUAAGAAGCCUAAAGCGGUAGGUAAGAUUCCGAUGAAUCAGGUAUUUCAGCAUGAACUGAGAGUUGUUUCACAAAUAAACCACAAGAAUGUGGUCAAGAUUUUAGGGGCAUGUCUAGAAACCAAAGUGCCUCUGCUGGUUUAUGAAUUUGUUCCCAACGGAACUCUGUUUGACCAUAUCCAUGAUAAGAGUUCACAAGUUUUAAGAAAUUGGAAAACUUGUCUGAGGAUUGCGGCCGAAACUGCUUCAGCUCUUGACUAUUUGCAUUCUUCGGCAAGCCCCCCAAUCAUUCACGGAGAUGUAAAGUCCACCAACGUACUCUUGGAUGACAAUUAUAAGGCAAAAGUGGCUGAUUUUGGGUCUUCAGUGCUGAUUUCGUCAGAUAAUCAAACUGCAAUGACCACAAAAAAAAUAGGGACUUUUGUUAACUUAGAUCCCGAGUACGUAAUAACAGGUAAUUUUUUUUAAUUUGUCUUUUUUAUUGAUAGCCGUACGCCAUGCCCAAUUUUUUUCUCUAUGUAAUUCACUUUGAACCGCAGAUCCUUUGUGCCAUCCCAAAAUUUUUUACUAGUUAAGAUAAUUAGCGCUCAAAUAAUGACAGGUAAAUUGACAGAGAAGAGUGAUGUGUAUAGCUUUGGAGUUCUCCUUGCGGAAUUGUUAACCGGCUUGAAGCCUGGCUCCGGCAUGGCAUUGGCAUCCAAUGAAGGGAUUAGCAUGGUUCAAUAUUUUCUAUAUUCGAUUGAAAAUAAUAGCUUGCGUCAGAUUCUAAACUUUCAGGUUGCUGAUGAAAGUGAAAUGGAGGAGAUAGAAACCGUCGCUGGGCUUGCAAGCAAAUGCUUAAGCCUUAGCGGCAGAAGAAGGCCAACAAUGAAGCAAGUUUCGGAGGAGCUUGACAGGUUGAAAAUUUCGCAUGAAAACUAUGAGCACAGAAGAACCGAGAAGAGGCAGAGCAUUUGUUAGGUGAAUCAUAACUACAAGAAAACCAAUUUUUUAUGCUGGUCAAAAGCCGUUGAAAUAAGUGUCAUGCCGUUGAAAAUUGGUAUAUUUGAUGGCAUGGGGCCACCGAAGGCUGUCGUUAAUAUUUGGGGGUAGAAAUACUCUUUUUCUAACUGGCUAUCAAGCUGUAUAUGUCAUUAUAAAAAAUAAAUUAAUCACAGAUAAAAUUAUCAAAUUUCAAACUUCUAUUUUCAAUCUCUUAGACCAGUUGAAUAUAUAUUAAUUUUUAAUAAAAAAAUAAUUGAUUUCAACCAAUAAUUAUAAUCGAAAAUGGAAUUAUGAGCAUAAAAUGACAAUCGAAAAAUAAUUGAUGAUUAUCGGGAAAAGUAUAUUAUCAACAAAUUUGAUGUUCGAAAAUAAUGAAUCUAUUAUUCAAAUUAGUGUUUUUUGUUAUGACCAUAGAUCGUUGUCAUCAAUAAUUAUUUACUCUUUAUUUGAUCAAUUAUUACUGAAAAUAAGACAUCAAUGGCCAAAAGCCAUUUUAAGUACGUUUGGCCAACAAAGAUCUAUCAAUAAGAGUUGUAAAAUUAAAGAAAAAAGUCUACUAAAAUCUUUUGUAACCGUCUUUUAUUAAUAAUUUCAACAAGACGAGAAAUAUGAAUUCUGCUAUGAUUAUGGACUUGGUGGCGUGAGAAUAUGGGUUAAAGAGAGAAUGAAGAACGUGGGGUAUAACCCAAAUUGUAAUUCUAUUUAAUUAUUAAAUAAUAUAAUUUAGCCCAGUAAGCUAGUUUUAUGAUGAUAAGAACUGGAAUUUAGCUAAUAAAGAUUAACAAGAUGGAUGACAGUACAUCUUUUAAACUAUUAGAUGAGAUAAAUAUUCGGAAAAAAAAAGUGCUAGAUUAGAUUGGAUAAAAAUAAAUAACUACUAGACAAAUAAAUUUUUUUUUAGAACUGUAAAGAAAAUAUCACUAAAAUUCAAUAAGUUAACAAAAAAAAAGAUGUUAUUUAUGUUAUAAUGUAUAAAUAAAUUCUUGCAAUAAUUCUUAUUAUACGGUGCAGUUAUUUGUAUGAUCAUCUUAAAAUAAUUAUCAUUAUAUGGUGAAAUUAAUUGUAUGAUCAUUCUAGACUACUUUCUUUAAUAAUAUCUUUUAAAUAUUAAUUAUAAAAAAAACAUGAUCCAUUUGUGAAAUCUAAUAAAAAUUAUUAUUGGAUAUUACACUAUCAUAAUUUUAUUAUUUAAAAUUAAAUUGAUUCGACGAUAGUUAUCAAUCAUAUGAUAUUAUUUCUUAGAAUACUUUUCUAUAAAAUCUAAGUAAUAUGAUAAUUAGUUUCAAAACUGAUUCAGUAAUAACAAUCAAUACUACUGAUAAUUAUUGCUUUUUAAAGUUUAUUUGGAUGAUUGAAUGAGAUUACAAAUGUAAUAGAGUAAUUAUGUUCUAAAUAAGCAUAAAAUAUUACUUUAAAGCAAUUGAAUUUGAGCCAUAAUGUGAGUUAUCUCACAUUAUAUCUAAUAUUUAUAUGUCUAAUAUUUAAUGUAAAAUGUUGAACAUGGAUAUUAACAACAUGAAACAAGAUUACAAAUGUCAUGUUAAUUAACAUAUCUUAUUAAUCAAACUUAUUUGCAUUGAGACUAUAUAUUAAAAUCUAAAUUUUAUAUAUGUGUAUGCAUAUAUCUCAAAUCUAUAGUACUGUACAACAACAGAUAUCCAACGGCCCAAGAUAAUAGUUUGGACAUUUCUUUUACUCUCGUUGGUAACAUUAACUUCAAAUUUUUAUUCCAAUAUUUACUUUAUAUUCAAAGUAAAAUGGACAAAUUAAACAUUAUAUAAAAGCUAAUGGAGUGAUAAAACUAAUAUAAGUAAAAUAGUAAUAUCUACGUCAUAUACGUCUUAGUGGCUACUUAAUUAUACUAUGAUCAUGAAAAUUCUAGUAGUAAUUAAGUUAAUUACUUCAACAAAUAUAAGGUGAAUUUGUAGGAAAAGGAGCAAAGAUCUAUUUAAUGCAACUGGCUCCUUAUGCUCAUGCUAUCAUUAUUUUUAAAUAAAUGGGAGACAUACAAAUCACAUAAAGUACAUAUAAAAAUAUAUACUUUAUAUUUUUAUUACUAUUAUAUCUCCUAAUGAUAGUCUAAUUGGUUAAUGUUUGGCAGUGAAAGCAACAAAUCAAGAGUACAAGUCCAAUAAAAUACAUUUGAACUUUUUUUAAUAUUUAAUACUAAUUAAAUAAUAAUAUUGGCGCAAUCUUUCCUCUUGAACAAUUUCAUACUAUCUUCGAUCAAUUAUCUAGCAUAGUGGUAAAUAUUAAUUUUGACAAUGGUUAAUAGUUAUCAAAAAUAGUAAUUUAUUUCUAUCAUAAGUUUGGUAAGUUGAAAAUGUUCAUAGCUCAAAUUCUACUACCUAUUGAGUUAUAAUACUCACUUGUGACCACCUUGAUACUUGAUUAAAAAAAAAAAAAAAAAAAAUUAAUAAUAAUAAUAAUAAUAAUAAUAAUAAUAAUAAUAAUAAUAAUAAUAAUAAUAAAGAUACGACAUUUUCGAUUGUUGAAUUCUUGUUAUUGUAAAUUACAGUGGCACCAAUGCCUACUAUCAAACAUUUCAAAAUUUCACUAGUUAUUUUUAGCCAAUUUCAUAAUUGGUCGAAAUUAAACUUCUAUUAACAAAUGUGAAACAAUAUGGUCAUAAAUAAUCAUAUAUUUCUAAAAAUUUAACAAAGGUAUUGAAAAUAUUGUCAAAUUUUCGAUUGUAACUUCUUAUCAUUGAAAAUGGUAUUGGCGCUGUUGAUUUCCUACAAAAAAAUAAGUAUUAUCGAUUAAUUAUUAAGUUUUUUUUUUUUUACAAUUUGUCCGUAUCGAAAAUGUGGGAUAUUAGCAAACUAAUUUUCACAAUCGAAAAUAAGCAUAUCUUCGACUAAAUUUUUCCUACAAUUAAUAAUUAAUAAUGUUUGUCGAAAAAGACUAUGCAACGGAUGUGAUUGCCUAACUGGACAUUUGAUUUUCAGAACUAUUACUGUACGUGAUAGGACCAGUGCUUUCCACCAGAAGCUUAUCAUGUUCAGUAGCUUACUGUCUUGCUUCUUUGGGGAAAAUAGCAUCAGGUGGGUGUGAGAAGUUUGCAAAGCGGAGCUACCAUGAACCAAUGGAAAGAUGAUUGCAAUUAAGAAGAUUGUUCUGCCCCCGAAGGAUACCGCAGAGUUGAUAGAAGAUGGUAAGUCACUGAACGUGAUAAUGAUGCAAAUUCAGUCUGAGAUUAAACUUGGAGAACAGGAAUCAUCUUUUGCAGGCUCAUAUAACCAGGCCUGACUGCCAUCUACUUGUAUACGAAUUCAUGAAGAAUGGAAGUGGCUAAAAUGCCAUUUCCUCAGUCCAAAGUGGACAAUAUCCUGCCAAAUCUAGGUUGUUGGGACGUUACUUGUGAUGAACAAUGCAUGCUCUCUGAUUGAGUCGCACAUUUAUCAUGAUCCCCUUCUUGAGUUUACUUUUUAAGUUGUACAAUUAUGAGGCUCACGACAUUGUAUACAAACUAAAAACUAUUCCUGAAAUGUGGCAUAUUUUUUAUUUCAACUGAUAAUAGUCAUGUUAAUUUUAUGGCUUAUGGCAGCACAUCCCUACAACUCAACAAGGGAUGGUCAAUUGCAAAACCUAAGCCUUUUAUUUAUUUAUUUAUUUGUUUUCAUUAAAAAAAUGUAUAGCAAGAACAACUCAAUUCGAUAAGCAUAUUCUAACACGUUUUGUGUGACUUUUGAAACCGUGAACAGAUGCUUCUUGUUUUAAAGAUUGCUUACUUUUGCACUCCGGAUGACCCAGACGGGAGACCUAACAGCAAGGAUGUUAGGUGCAUGUUGUCUCAGAUGCAGCACUAAUUACUGGACAUACGGAUGUUUUUAAAUGCGCAAGAAUUAUAGCGUUAUUUGUCAUGAACAUUGAUUGCUCUCCAAUUAAGUUGUAUAAUUAUUAUGACCCUUCUGAGUUUAUACUUUAAAUGAUUUAUAAUGUGGUUCAUGACAUUGUAGUUGAACAAACUAAAACUAUUUCUGAAAUGUGGUAUAUUUCCUAUUUCAAUCAUUUGGUUGCAUUUUUUUCCCCCAUUUUGUUUUUUCAGACAAAAGGCCCAUUCAUUGAAUAAGAAAAGCAAAUCUGAGCACAAGUAUGAAAUCAAAUGUUCGCAUGUUCCCCACCACCCCCCCCCCCCCCUCCCGCCGCGCCAGAAGUAAAGGUGUAGAGGCACUCUGUUCGGAUGAAAUAUGUUAUGGUACAGCCUCAACAGUUAGGCUCAAGAAAAUCGAAGUUUUCUAGAUAUUUGAAAGAAAAAAGUUGCUCUCUUUUACAUACUAGGGAGUUGAGCACCUUCCUUUAGUAAGGGAGGAUACCGCCCACCACAGGUUCCCCCUAUCGUUUGAAAGUCCAUGACGGCAUUAAAAAUGCAGUAGGAUUCUUGACUCUGAGAAAGCCACACAAUGAACCAUGAAACUCCAUGUUAUAUGAUUUUUAAUCAGGAUCAUAUACAACGUAAGACGUAAAUAUACCGUUUCUGUUAGUUUUUAUUUUUUCUACAUUGUUGCUUCCAUGUUUGUUUAAUUUUCUAGCUCUAGGUUUGCAUUUUUGCAGCGUCAUGGAUCUCAUAAGGGGUAAGCCACCCUACGUCCCUGACUAGGUGUCAUAUUUUUAUUUUAAUUAAUAAAUUCGCCUCGUACUGUUGAGGUUCGCCCCAAAAAAAAAAGAAAAAGAAAGAACCACAUAACAUUGACCGAGACAGAGCAAACUGUUUGUACUAAAGAUAUUAGAAGGAGAACAACGGCUGCAAUAACAGAGAUAGAUGCCCACUGACUAUUGAAAUAAUCUUGUUUCAAUAUUGCCUUCCACCUAUGCCAACGGUGUCUGCACUUCAGAUCCUCAAUAAGAUCAGUAUAUUGGAAAUUUUUGCAGACAAUAUGAAGUUUCCUGGGCAAGGAGUUGAGAAAAAGAGUCCGACACAGCUUCAUCGUCCCAUUGCCAAUUUUCAAUGGCUCGGUUUUGAACAAAGUAACUCAACAUCUUGUGUGGUAUUGACGAGGCAAGUCGUAAUUAUAACAUGUUUAUUUAUGUACCUGCUGCCAUCACAAUGCAAAAUCUCUAAAGCUCGAGGAUCUCUGUAGAUCCGCUGAUUGUAACUUCCAGAAUGACUUUACCGAAUGGAAAUGCAAUGUAAAAUAGAUUUUUGCUUGAACCCAAACUGAAACUUGAGUGGCAGAAAUAGCUUAAAGCAAGUCAACUGAAAUCAGGGCCCCACCAAUGAUUGGCCGAACCAGCUAAUUAUUUUUUUAUUAAAAAAAAGGACAAAGAACAAAACCGUUUUGGUCCCACGAGAUGACUUAUUCCUCCCUUUCCUGUGUGGACUUUUGUGCGCACGUUUGCGUCACAUACCCAUACCAAAGUCAAUCAAUCACCUUCUCUUUAUAACGUUAGAACCCUUGCUUACUUCACGCAAUUACUUGUUAAUCCCCUCUAUUUUCCAUUUCAAUCAGAAAGAGGAAGCCACCGGGACUGAUCGACAUUGGAAAAAGAUGCCACAGUACACUCUCGAUAAUUCCUUUCGUUUCGACAGCAGACAAGAGACUGUCACUAACUUCCUCUCUGAAUCUAUCGAGAAGUACUAAAAAAGUUGACUAAAGAUUGGCUGGAGCAGUUUGCAGGCGGAGAGCAGAUCCGGGCCGAUCUAAUUGGGUGGAAGAGGAUGUUGGUGAAGAUAAAUGAGGUCCUAGGUGAGGCGGUGCGGAAACAGACGAAGGAGGAGUCAGUGAAGAAGUGGCUCGGCAAACUUCGCGACUUGGCUUGUGAUGUUGAUUUCUUGUUGGAUGAGUUUCAAACGGAAGCUUUCCAGAGGAUGUUGCCGCAAGCUGGUGUUGACGAUGCCGUGGAUAAGUCCGAUGAUUCUACGGCCAUGUCUAAAGUAAAGGAGGCCAAUGCUAGAUUGCAAGAUAUUGCAUUGCAGAUAGACCUACUAGGAUUGAAAGUGUCUGCUAGAUGAUGAUGUCAUGUCUAAAGUAAAGGAGGUCAAUGCUAGGUUGCAAAGGGGAUACAUCUUUGCCAAGUCUAGGUUAUUGGAACAUUACAUGUAAUGAACAAUGUAUUAUGGUCAUGUCUUAAGGGUAUGUUUGAAAUUGAAGUUAUGCAGCUAUAUUUUAAAAACUACAUCAGUAAAGUGUUUGGUAAAUACUAUGUGUUGUAUCUUAGAAAAUAUGAUGAUAUGAUUUUUUACUUAUAUGAUGAAAAAUCUAUUAUAUAUUUAAUAAUUUUGUCAAAAUUAUUAUUUAAAAUUUAUAUUUACUAUAUAUUAUUAAUUUUUGUUUCAUAGUUAUAAUUUUUUUUCCACAGUAGCUGUAGUUUAAAAGUUGCAACACCUCAAUCCCAAAUAAAACUUGAAUUUAAUUUUUAAGUUGUAGAAUUAUUUGGUUCACGACAUUGUUUACAAACUAGAAACUAUUUUUGAAAUGCGGCGUAUUAUCUAUUUCAACAGACAAUAGUCAUUGAAAGGAAUUUAGAUCUAUUGCAAAUAGAGGUAGGCAACCUCAAAUUAACAACUUAAUUAAUUUUUAGAAAUAUUAUUUACUGUUACUGUUCACGGUUACCAUUCACGGACUUACGGUACUGUUCACGGUUACUGUUUACAGACUUACGGUUACUGUUUAUGGACUUACGGUUACUGUUUAUGGUUACUGUUCAUCCGCAUAAAAAGUAAUAAUUUUCCAAAAACACAAUAAAUUACGAAAAAUAAAUGACACAGAGAUUUUUAUGUGGUUCGGAUUAAUCAAUCCUACAUCCAGGAGGCCACACCAAGAUGAAAAGCAAUUCACUAAUGAGAUGUUACAACCUAUGGAUUUACCGAACUUAAGACUUUCACUAACAGUUUAUCACCAUACAGUUUACUCAACCUUAGAUUGAAUCUGCUUCUCUUGAAUAAUUGCUACCCCUCUUGAUCCACGAUCCUCAAGGCACUUCGCAAAGUGAUCAGUGGCAAUUCUUUAAUUCUUCAAUGUUUAGUGAUCUAAGAUCAAUAUAGACUCUCCAUAGAGAUGAAAAGAAGAUAAGAAAACAAAUCAACACAACAUUAUGUGCCAAAUCCGGAUUCUCUACGGAGGAGGCCGAAUUUUGCUUCUCUACUUUAUACUUUGUGUUGUGCGUACCUUCAAUUAUGAAAUACCUCUUUUUAUAUAGGCUCUAGGGUUCCACAAAAAUAAAAGACUUGGAUUCUUUUCAAAUAAGAAUUUCUUUCCUCUUAUAAUUCUUAAGAAUCUGAAUUGAAAUAAAUAUGAUCUUCUUGCCUUACUUGUCUCCCAAGAAAUAUCUAAAGCAUUUAAUAAAAUUCUUAUUUGAACUAACUUCUUGCUCUAAAUAGAUCUCAUGCGCCAAUUAUAGAAUUCUAUCAUUAAUUGACUUGCUAAAUUAGACAUCUAAUUAAAUUUGAAAGUAAAUAUUCCUAAUAAAUUAGAAUCUCACUAAAUGAAGAAAUUAAUAAAUUAAUCUCUGUUACAAGAUAUGUAAUAAAUAAUAUUCGAAUUUAAUUCGACUUAUCAUAAGAUGCCAACUCUAUAAAUAAUGAACUUAACAUUCGUGUUAGUUUUUGGCAACACAUCCUUGCAACUGGACAAAGGAUGGUCAAUUGCAAAACCUAAACCUUUUACUUUAUUUUUUAUUUUUUUGUUCGCUAAGAAGAAUGUAUAGCAAGAACAACUCAAUUCCAUAAACAUAUUCUAACGCGUAUUGAGUGACUUGUGAGAAAGGGAAUGUUGCAGGCAAGUGUAUUCUAGUCAAAUGUUCCUUCAAAAGCAACCAAUCGUGUUUCACAUUUCGCUUUUGAUUAUGUCUCCAUUUUUUAUAAACAAAAAUCUUAAACCAUCUCUAGCUUACAAUAGAACAAUAAUCAAAGAUACAUUUCUAUAGGUAUGUGGAUCGGAAACCUCAUAAAUUAAAGGGUACAAGAAAAACUUACUUUGAUCUGAAACAUCAAUGUGUAUUGCACAUACAUUAUAAAUUUAUUUUGACAAAAUCGGACUCUAUGCGGAUAUGAGCGUUGAUACUUCCAUCGAGUCAGACCUUGACCUAGACCAAAACGACACAGUUUUGAUUUUGAAAAUAAAACACGAAAUACGAUACUGUUUAGCUCAUUAUUCAAAUUAAAAAUAAAUAAAGAAAAAAUAAUUUUCCUUUACCACAAUUCAAGAUCACACACAAGCCACAUAACUAGAAUUCAAGAUCAAAACCCACCGCACCUAGCAAUUACGGCCACUGCUACUCCUAUAAGUUGAACUUUGGAUUUAAAAUCUUUUUCUAGAAUUUUAUGAAUUAUUUUAUUAUAGAAUAAUUGGGGUUGUUAUUGAAAUGCAAGUUAUGCAACCCAAGAGGGGGGUGAAUUGGGUUUUUAAAAUUUAUGCAAUACAAUUCGCACAAUAAUUUAAUUUAUUGCCUUAAUCAAAUAAAAAAUAAUAAAUUCAAUCAAGCACAAUAUUAAAAGAGUAAGGGAAGAGAAAACAAACACAAAAUUUUUUACGUGGUUCGGCUAUCCCCGCCUACGUCCACACCUCCAAGCUCACCCGGCUUGAGGAUUUCACUAUCCAAGUCUCCUAAGGCUUCAAAUGUUUACAAUUGACUUCCAAGGUGUCAAUGGACCUUUACAACAAGAGAUUAUAUCCACAAUCUCUUAACACAAGUGUUUCUCACACUUGUACACUCACAAUUUGAUGAGAAAUGAAAAUCACAACAAUGAAACUCUCUUUAAGAGUGGAUAAACAAAUUAUAGCUCAAUGAUGGUUCAACAAAUGAUGAUUUACGAAAUGGAAGCUCAAUAGAUGUUAUAUGAUCUUGUUUUUCCUUGUAUUAGUUCUUAAAAUAAAGUUGGAGUUGAGUUUUUAUAAUUAAAGCCCGAAAACUAGCCGUUAUAGGCAAAUUCCAGCACCCAAGCGGUUAGCCGCUUGAUUUAUCCGGCUAGCCGCUCAUGAAUAGUGAUAUUACCGUUAUUUUUGAAUUUUGCUACAGUAAUACUGUUCACUAAAAUUAUACUUUGGCCCAAAACGUCAUAAAACUUUACAAAUAGGUCUAAUUUCAGAAUUUCUUAAUAAUAGUUGUCUUCCCACAACUUUCUGAAUUUAUGAUAUAGCCCCAAAGAUAUUAUUCUUUCGUAAAAAGAUCAUUUUCAACAUAAUACCCAUAUUUUUUAAAGUUCUCAAAACCUUUCACUUUAGUCCACAAUAUUCAUAAAUUAUAGUAUAGCCCAAAACAUUUCAAAUGUUUGUAAAAAGGUCCAACUCCGAAAUUCAAUAAUAAUACUUAUUAAAAUCAAAGAUUUCAAAACUUUGCAUUUAAGUCCAAAUUACUCAAAACCACAAGGUACUUUAUCUUAUAAAAAUAAAACUUUUUAGUUUAUAAAAAAGUAAUUAAUUAAAUUAAUCUCUUAAGCUUCUCAAAUGCUAAAUCAUGCAUCAAUUAAAUCAUAUCGGCUUUACAAGAAUUUAUCGCACUAAUUUGUCUGUUGAGCUCUAAACUUUAUUCUUGAUUUCGCCGUUGUCCGUUGAGUGUCUUGAGCUUGAUUUCACUUGAUUCACUUGCAUAAAUAUUACCCUUAAAAAACUAGUGAAAAUGUGAAAUACAACAUCUAUUAAAUCACUUAAUACAUAUUUUUGUUAUCAUCAAAAUUACAUUAUGUGUAGCCCUUUAGGCUAACAGUUAUUAGCAUAAAAAAUGUCAUGGGAAUUUAAGUGAUGUUUCUCGUGCUCAUAAAAUAAUUGGGAUAAUUAAUUAAUAAACCCCAGAUUCUUGCAUAUAUUCAUGUUGUUAUUUAUUAGUUACUUUUAAUAGAAAUGAAAUUUCUUUUUACAAUUUUGGUGAAGAAAUAGAGAAUUUGGAACAAAGUGGAUGAAGUUGAAGAAUUGGAUGAAUUAGAGGAGACUGAUUUUGAAGAAAAUAUUGAGGAACCAGAGGACACUGAAUUUGAUAACAGUGAAAAUGUGGGGACAAAAAAUUGAUGAGCCAAUGUUUGGGAUGUUUUUUCAGUAAUUGUGAUGAAAGUUUUGCCCCAAAAAAGGUGUUUCUAGUUAUAAUUUUGUGAAUUGUGGUGGAUGUCUUACACGACUUAAAAGUAAUUUCUAACUCCUGAGUAUAAGAGUGUCUUAUUAUAUUAUAACUCGAUGAGUCCGAGGUCGAUUCACAGAUAAAUGAUUUAAUUUGUUUAUUUAAGUUUAUCAGAAACAUAAAAAUAAAAAUAAAAAUAUGCAAUUUAAUUUAACGAAAACUAUGAAAUUGAAUUAGUUAAGGUUAUAGAUGUUGGGAUUAUAUGCUCUUUAAAGCAUAUUAAUUUAUUUAUUUUCUGAUUAAUAAAAUAUUUGAGAUAUUUUCAAUUGCAUAAAUAUUUUGAAUAAGGUCUGUUUAAUCAUAUUAUUUGUAUUUGUGUGAUCAUCAUAUGGAUUCACAGAAGACAUAAAUACAAGUUAUCUUAUGAUUAAAUAAAUUAAGUUCGCAGUUGAUAAAUAGAGUUGGGCGCUCUAUUUAUGUUUAGACUGUAAUAAAUUCAUUGAAUGAUUUGUCUUAAUCAUGUAUGAAUUUAUUGAUGUAAUACGACUACAUUGAACAAGAUCACAUAUGAGAUUUAAUUAACUUUGUAAUAACUGUCAUACUUAUUAAAUCUCAUAGGCAUUAAUUUUACUGUAAUCUUAAUCUUGAGUUAGUUAUGAUUUCAUGAUUGUAAUUGUUAUUCAAUUUGAGUUACCAAUGGGCACGACACAUAUUUGUAGUCAAGAUUACCCGGUAUCUUGGUGGGAGCAAUUAUGAGUAUUGGAGUUAUAGAUUAACAAUAUAGAAUUUGUACAACACAUCUCUUGAUAGGUUUUCAGCACUUGAUCAUAGAAUUUUCUGGCCAGAGUGUGUCAACAUAUUUAGUAUGUUGAAAAUGAUCAUUAGAGAAAAUCAGUAAGUAUCAAGGAACAAGAUGUAAUUAAAUUGAUUGGACAGUUGCAAUAUCGAUUUAAUUAAUGAAGUGAUACAAAAGAUUAUGCAGUAAAGAAAUUAAUGUGGCUUGAGACGAUUUAUUAUUCGAGCAUACAAUUAUGAAGGUCAAUUCCAAUAUUUUAGUGGAGUAGAUUUGGAAUUAAAUAAUUGGUCUAGUUUAAUUACAUGCCUAAUUAUUGUAUCCAUUUUUUAUGUUCCCAAAUGAUUCCCGGGUUAGCUCAUUUAAUUAAUUGCACCACUACUAGAUUAAUAAGUAAGAUAACUAGUUAUUUGUGUAAAAAACCUAAAUAUAUCAUUUAGUGGGAGACUCCAUUUAAUAUGCUUGUUUGUAAGGAGCCUUAUGUUAUUUUACAAGGUGGGCCCUCUAUAGAAAAAUCAAGUAACGUGACUUUUGGUUUUUAUUAUUUGGAGUCUAGGGUUUUCACUAAAGGGAGAUAUAAAAAAACUUAUUUUCUCUAAAGAAAAAAUACAGAGCUGCAAUAUACAAAUCAGAGAAAAAGAAUUUUUCUCUCUAAAAUUGAGAGGAAAAUUUUUCUCUUGCUAGUUGCUUUAGUAGUGAUAAAGGCACCCACACGUCAAGUGAAGAUCAAACUUGAGUCAUAGCCUGGAAGAUUAUUUGGCAACGGAUCAUGAUCUAACAGGAGUGGUGGUGAUGGAUCGUGAUCUGGGAGCCUAAAUCACUUCAGUGGAAAAAGCAAAGAUUAUUCAUCUUCUCGGAUUGUCAAGGUAUGAUUUUCUAGAUUACAUAUUCCUAUAUAUUGUAUGAGAUUGGUCCUAAAAGUUUUUAUAAAAAUUAAAAAAUAUUAAUUUUUCUCCAACAAUAGAUUCACUCUUAAUAAUAAAUACAAUUUAACAAAUUCUUUUUAUUUUUAUUUUAUUUCCCAAAUAUUAAUUGUAUAAAUUAAAAUAAUUUUUCCAUUAAUUUUAUUAUGGAUUAAGAACUUAAUGUGCAAAAACUUAACUUGUCUAUAAUAAGUAAUAAUACCAUUUUACCAUAUUUUAUACUAAGAUAUUAAGAAUUCAUUAUGCCAAACUCCCAUUUUUGUCUACAAUAAAUCAAAAUUUCAAAAUAUAAAAUAUGGAUAAAAUUAAAUAGAAAAAAAAUUCAAUUUGUACAAUUAAAAAUAGAAUUUGAUUAAAUUAUAUUUUUCUACUAAGAGUUUCACCUCACCCUAACUACUAAUAUUUAGCUAAAAAUAUUUGAAAUAAAGGAAAUUAUUAAAAUUGAGAAACACAUAAUUAAAAAAUGGUAUUUAAAAAUUGAAAUAAAACUAAUUUUAUUUAUUGAAAAUACAUUACAAAGAGAGAUAAGAAGAAGAAUUUGAGGGGAAAGAAUAGAAGAGAAGGUGUGGAGAGGUGUGCUUCCCCCCCCCCCCCCCCCCCCCCCCCCCCCCCCCCCCCCCCGCGGCUCUAUUAUACUAAUACAAGAUUAAUCCACACCACAUAAAUAAAAAAAAAAAACUAAUUACAUCUUAGCCUUACAUUUGUCCCACUAACAAAACAUAAACCUAACUUAAUUCACUCCAACACAUUCCACUAACAAUUAUCAUGCCUAACAUGAUAAAAAUUUAUAAUUUCACAAUUACCACAUUUACCGUGUAAAACCUUAUAAAUUUACAACAAAAGUCUUGGAUCCUCCUCGACAAUGACAUAAUUUUUCAGACUUCCGAAAUCCAAAUUUGACAUCUAUACAUUUGUUUGGAGCCCCAAAUUGCGUGAAUUAUUAUUUAUACCUAAUAAACACACAAAAAUGUACAAAAUCAAAUAUUUAGAAAAAUAAUUAGAAAUACAUAAUAUGUUACAUAAUUACAAAUGUAAAUUAUAUUAUAAGCACAAAAUAACAUUUUUAUCCCUUAAUAAACAUACAAUUUUUAACACUAAUCAAUGUUGCUACAAUGUUGCUUUAGAAGUUGUAGGGGUUGUGGCUGAACCAUGGUUAUUUUUUGGGAGACUUUUAAGUCCUGCCCCCCCCCCCCCCCCCCCCUCUUUUUUUUUUUUUCCAUCUAGGAGACCUUUUAGUUGGUUUGUAUGGAAUUUUUCAUUUGGAUAUUCCCGAGAUCCCACACAUUCGACAUUGAUUUCCCUUUAUUUACUUGUUUUUGGAACUUUUUAGUUGAUUACUUGUUACUCUUACUUCUAUUAGGAGAUUUUGGCUUCUGUCUGCCCUCCUUAUAUUUUCUUCAUUAUCUGAUUUAUAUAAUAAGUAGGAGUCCAACCGAAUAGCCAUAGGUGGUUUUAACCCAAAAAAAAACAAAAGUUAAGUUAGGAUUUGACUAUGUGUAAAUAUGUUUUUCUAAUUAGUUUAAGCAAGUUAGUUUAAGUCGAGGAUCCUCAAGUGAAUCGCUCCAUUAGUUGACACAAUAAUAAUGAGCUCAUAGAAGUAAUUUUCAGUCAUUUUAACUAGUUUAAACCACUUCCGGACAAAAGUUCUGUUGAUUUAGGGUAGGCAAAAAAGAUCGGGCCCACCCAAGCCCAGCUCGGCCACCUCAAGUUGUAGCCUUUUAUCCCAACCCUCCACAUGAGGGCCUCGACAAAGGCUUAAGAAAAAAAAAAAAAUAGGCUCAAGCCAAGCCUAACCCUCUAUUUUUAAAAAAAUAAAUUUAUAAAUUAGAAUAAUAAAUUAAAAUUAAAAAAAAAACUCAAAUUCCUAAUUCAUAAAUCAAUAAUGAUUCAAAAAAUUUAAAAUUAUAAUACUAAACUCUCUUUUAAGCGUUGAUUAAUUAAGAGGUUGCUUGAACAAAAGAUUCCAGUAUUAAAAAAAAUAAAUCUAUAAACUUUUAUUUGUUUUAUUUUCUUAAUUUACUAUUUUAUUUUAAAAUAUUUAUUUUUUGUAAUUCAUUAUUAAUUAUAACAACUUGUUGAUUAUCAAUUCAUUUUAAGUUUAUAAUAAUUUUAAAAAAGUUAACUAAUAGUAAAAGCCUAAGCUUACCCUAAGUCCGACCUAACCCUUACGCUUUCUCUUUUCAACCCCAAGCCCAGACCCGCAUUUUGCUAACGCCGCUCGAGUUCGACCUCCAAUAAUAAUAACGAGUAAUGGUUGGUUAAAAUCAAUGAGAUUUAAAUGCUGAUUAUUUUUGCUUCAAUGGAUUUAAAUAUUAUUUUUUUUCUUUCGAUGAGUUCACAGUUGGCUAAUUAUUUGUUUUAUAAAAAUAAAACAGUGAAGAAACAGAGAAAAAACCUUUUAGGAAAAAAAAAAAAAACGAAAAAGACAAAACCGUGUUGAUCCCAGAUGAUGACUUUAUUCUUCUCUUUCCCCAGUGGAUUUUAAUGCGCACGGCCUCAGUUAUCUGAAAGAAUCUCGUGUAGGCAAUUCUUAUUAAGGUGAGAUGGUUGGGACCGACCAAUCACCUAUCCUUUGUAAUUUAUACAAAAAAUCUGAAGAUAAUUAUCGGCUAUUAAACUUGAAAAUAUUAAUGAGCAAGCAGCAUGUGACGAUUAUUUAAACCACGUACUGGGAGUACUGAUACAGAUAAAAACAGUUAUAAUCUAAGCGCGUAAAAUCAAAUGAUUAAGUAAGUACUGAAUACUGAUCACCAUAAAUUUACUAAAAUCCUAACUCUUAAUUCUAGCCGUUUAAUGCCUUGCUUUUAAUCCGGCAUCCAAUGGUUGUUGUUUGGCGAAAAAGAUAAAAAGGGUAAGCGCGUGGGAUGUGAAGAGAAGUGGAGGCUCAAUCACCUGUUUGUUAGCCUUCGUUUAAAUAACGAAGAAGAAACCACCAGGCCGAUCGACAGAGGAAAAAUAAAAGACAAAUGACAAGCGACCAAACCGUGUUGGUCCCACAUGAUGAGUCAUUCCUCUCUUUCCCUUGUGGACUUUCGUGCGCAUGGCUGCGUAACAUACCCACGACCAAGUCAGUCGAAUCUUUUUGUCUUCGUUAAUGUGGCAUAUUUUCUAUAUUUCAGCAGUCGUGUUUCUGGAAACACAUCGAGCCUUUCAUUUUGCAUAAGCAAAAUAGCAAUAGAAGCUCAAUAAUGGUAGUUCCUUCUAUAAGCAUUUUCUAACACAUAUAUUGAGAAAGUCUGCAAAAUUUAAGAGAAUUCUAGGCAAGUGCAUUUUAGUCAAUCACAGUUACUUGUUUGUUAUUUCCCUCCAUUGAAAUAAGGAAGAAGAAGCCACCAGCCCGAUCGAUCGACAGAAGGAAAAAAAAAAAAAAAUGCCAAAGUUCACUCUUGGUAAUUCCUUUCGUUUUGGCAGCAAAAGAGAAACCGUCUCUAACUUUCAUUCUGAAUCUAUUGAGACGAUACUACAGAAGUUGACUAAAGAUUGGCUUGGGCAGUUUGCUCGACAAGCGCAGAUCCAGGCCGAUCUGAUUGGGUGGAAGACGAUGAUGGUGAAGAUUAAUAAGGUGCUAGAUGAUGCCAUGGAGAAGCAGACGAAGGAGGAGCCAGUGAAGAUAUGGCUAGGCAAACUUCAGCACUUGGCUUGUGAUGUUGAUUACUUGUUGGAUGAGUUCCAAACGGAAGCUUUCCAGACGAUGUUGCUGCAAGAUGCUGAUGCGAUGUCUAAAGUAAAGGAGGUCAAUGCUCGAUUGCAAGAUAUUGCAUGGCAAAUAAACGUACUAGGUUUGAAAGAAAGUUCCGGAGGGAAGUCUAGAAAUGUCAGGCAAAGAUUUCCCACGACCCCGUCGGUGAGUGAAGCUACCUUAUAAAUAUUGAAAUUCAAACCGAAAAGUUUUACCGCAAACUGGCAGAAAUAGUGACAAAUCGGCAUCAAUUUUCUCAGUUAAUUAAAAAUUAAGACAAUAGAUACUGAUUUGUCACUGUUCUUAUCAAUAUCUCGAUCUCCUUAGUAAUUUUUCACCAAUAUAAAUGGUAGGGAAAAACAUAAAGAAGAGAUAUUGAACCGUGCAUGCUACAAAAAUAAAGAC
rnacentral:lncRNA from 1 species